rnacentral:lncRNA from 1 species
UAAAAUUCAAGUUUAGAAAACGAGGCCUAAGUGUGAAAUUUUCAGUCUGUUCAAUGAUAGCACAUUUCAUAGGCUUGAGUACAAGAGAGUAGAGAAGUAGAAUGUACCUUAUUUCAAAACAACUUCCUUGUGAGCUUUAAACGACAGUAUAACAUUCCAAGCAAGAGCUACAAAGUUCGCGGCAAGAACCUGAUACAGAAAUCACAAAAGAUUCAGAAUCAAAGAAGACGAUUUUCAAAGGGAAAGAUACUUCAAAUCUUAUACAAAAUAUGGUUGAUUUUCAAAGCAGUAUAUACUAUUUUUUUCAUUAUUAAGAAAACUAACUGAACAAAGGCAUCCAAUGAAUAGGAAUUGUUGAUUUCGGAAAGUGAACUAACAUAUCUCUCUUCACCUUUUCCUUUCAAACAAACAAGACUAAAUUGCAAAGACAGAGUAUGGUAUUAAACCUGAAAUUUCUGUGGGACGAAGUAGAAGUUCAGAAACUGGAAUGGGAUCCACAACUGCCAAUUUGCUAGCACUGAUGAAAACCACUCCUGCAAAAGAAACAUAUUUUGGCAGAAUUACGAGUAAAGAAAGUUUCUGCUAGAGUGUUGCUUCGGCAAGCAAAUGAGGCAUAAAUCACCUGCUGAAGCUUUGGCACCACAAGGGAAGGCCUUCCCUCUAGCGUGACAAGUAAACUCAUAAAAACUCCAAUGAAGAUAGGGGAGAAGAUGAACUGUUAAAAAAAAUACAGUUCGUUAAUUUUAGGCUCAAACAAAUAAACACAUAGCACAAAAGGCAAGUCAAUUCUGCUUAUUGUGAAACAUAAGCCUACCUGAUCAAGCAAAAGGCGAACAAAUGCACCUGAUGCUCCACUCGCAGUCACCAAUUUACUCAAGUAUAAAUACCUACAAAUAGAAAUUUUCAAAUUGACAAAUUAAACUCAUAAAAUAUAAUCUCUAUAAAUAUGCAAGAAGAAAAUGAGCAGAAGAAAUCAUAGCACGAUGUCUAAUGGAUGGAUUUACAAUUUCAAAAACGAGAAGCACAUUUUCGUCAUUACCAUAUAUGCAAUGUGGGGCCCACCAAGACAAGACCCAACAAAGUGAAGACAAAAGUUCGCUUCAGAUCCAGCUUUGACACCUGAUCAAUUAGAAGCUGCCAAAAUCGGAACAAAGGGUAACAAUGUAAGAUGCUACUUGUAGUAAUUGGCAGUCAAAAACUUAAAAUUAUAUGCAUAAUAUUAUAUAAUAUCACCACAAUUUUAGUCUCAAUCCCUGCCGAAGGGUGGUUUGUCUCAAAAAAGAAAAAAAAAAAUAGAAAAGACAAAGCAAAAACAAUACAGACAGUCCUCAUAAGAUCAAUUUGGCUAAAUAUAAACCAUAGCAACUCUGCUCUAUAUCAUGCUUAUUUCUAUUAUAUAGUUGACCUACAUAGAACAAAAAUAUGUAAUUUACUGAAUUCCACUUUUAUGCUCCUUCUCUUCGCGUAAGUUAAUUAUGGAUAUCUGCAUUUUCAUUUUCUUUUAUCUUUUAUUUUUGUGGUUAAUAAGAAGAGGACUUCUUUAUUAUGAUUCCGUCAAACAAAAAUUAGCAAGUCAAACAGUUUCAAUAUGCCAUUAGAACAAUCUAUGGUUUUACCGGAAUGCUGACCAUAAAUUAACUAGGUAAUUUAGAAGCGCCAAUCUACUAACCAGGAAACAAGUGCCAUUCAGGAUGACACUGUUUCAACCCAGUUUACGAAAAAUUAUAAUCCCUAAAACAACCUUUCAAUACCAAGUAACAGCUAAAUUCUAUCUGCUGUGAAGAGGAGUCAAAUUCUCAUGAAGACAACACAAGGAGAGGAAAAAAAGGGCUGAAAAAUGAGAUGUUUGGGCGCAUUCACCACGAAAAUAUUGUAAGAAAACAAAUUUAUUAAUUAAAAUGCUCCCAAAUAUUCUGGCCCAAAUUACUGAAGUCACACAAAAACCCAAGAACAAAGUCUUAUAAAAAAAUAAUUUGAGAAAAUUACAAAUUGUUUUUCACAAGAUCCAAAUCCAGGAUUGAUUUUCAUUAGUAUGCCAUUGGAGUCUACUCACUACGGCUAUGCAGAAUAAAGGACACUCUCCAAGAUUCAAAUUUAAAUAUGAGUGACAACCUACCUACAGUAUCAUGCAAUAUUCUCAUGGUUAUCUGAUUUAUAGCGCGAGGCGAUGUUUAGAGUAGGUACAUAUUUCAGGUUGUAGUAGUAAUAUCUACAAAUGCCAAGCUGCAUAAGUUGCCACAGCAAAUUUUGUCAGGUAUGAGCUUGAAAGAUGUAUAUACAUAGAGAAUAUAAUCUAAUAAGAAAAAGAGAAAGCAACUACUACAUUUGAAGAAAGAAAAAUAAAUAAGGAUUCUCAUAUUUACCAUGUAGUUCAGAAUUAUUUACCAUGUAAGUAAUACCUGGAAAAAGAACUUUCAGUCUCUAAUAUUAAGGCCAUAAACAUCAAUUACUCAAAAAAGGAACAAGAUUUUACAACCUCCUUGAAUAUGGAGGGCAUGGAAUUAUAUCUAAAUUAAGAAUCUAAAGCAAGAGAAUGGCGAAAGCAUAUCAUAUCCGUCAAACUAUAAUCGUGUUCAACAAGCUCAAGAAAUUUUGAGAGGGCCAGUAUCUACCUGGCAUAUUAAGUCACCAACAAGAGUUAGAAUAGCAGAUGUUAUAGCUUUAGUUGUCACCGGAUACUUAUCCAGAGCCAUCAGAUACCUAAAAUGAUAUACAACGGGUAACUAACAAGCUCUCAUAUUCUCCAGGAAAGUGUUGGUUAGUCCCGAAUUUGCUUAUUAGUUGAUAAGAACCCCAGCAAAAUCUCCAUGAAGAUAGCAGUAAUAUUGUAUUUUAACAUAUCAAAUUCUUUAGUGCAACAGAACAAACAGAUUCCAUCACAUUUGCCAACUCAUGCUUUAUUACCGAGAAUUCUAACAGUCAACAAUGACAAUCACUGAGCAUUACCAUUAUCUAAAACAGUUGGUUCCACAAUUAAGACUUCAUUGCACAACUAAAUGAUCAUCAUCAAUCAGCCAUGUUUCCAUAUAAUACUGCAGGAAAAAUAACCAUAUGGAAGGGGAAAAUGGAUAACAUAUUCCAAAAUUUUAUAAAAUAAGAAACAAGAUUGCACCGAUGUUUAAAACAAUUGACAGCAGAAAGAAAAACAUAUCAAAUGCAAAACUGUCUCAAUUACAUGCUUGUAUUUGCCAAUUGCAUUUAUUUUGAAAUUCAUCACACAAAAUAUUCACUCCUAAAUCCCCAAGAGAGAUAAGUUACCAUCUCUUAGACCUUUUUUGUACUAAUCGAAGAAUAUUAAGUUGAAUUCUCUACAGGAAGAAAUAAAAUUGAAGGGAAUACUUCCAUUAGCACCCCUGUGGUUUGAAAAAUGUUACUUUACUACUCUAUAGUUUUGUUUUUGUUUCAUCGAAAGGACCUAUCGUUAAAUAGGGUAGUAAAAUGUUGUAAUUUACAAAUCACAUGGUCAUAAAACAAAAAUUUUAGGCUAUUAAUAAGCUGUAUUCUACCACCUGUAGUUUAUAAAGUAGCAGUUUAUAAUCUCAUGAUUUGUAAAUUGUAUUAUGUUGCUAUCCUAUUCAACGACAAGUCCGUACGGCAAAAACAAAAACAAAAUCAUAAGGUAACAAAAAUGUUACUUUUCAAAUCAUAGGAUGAUAAAAUAGAAAUGCGCUAAACCACAGAUUUUCCCGAAGUUAAAUUGGGGAUCUAAUUAAAGUCAUAAUUUCAUCAAAUUUAUUGUCUUUAAUCACUUUUUUGCAAACGCAACUGGAAUAAUUACCACCUAAUAGCUAGUAGGGACAUUAAAUUAAAUAAAAUUUUCAACUUUACUAACUUAGAAUAACUUAACUCUAAGAAAUCCAAAUUUCAUGUGUCAAAUUAAAAAUAUUUCUGAGGGGGGUCUCGCCACACAUACAGCAAAAAAAAAUGUAUAAAAAAAUUAUCUCUAAUCAUUGUUGGAACAACUAAACUAUAAUAUCAUAAAAUUUGUCCCCAUAAAAGAGGGGUUUUGACCAAAAAAAAAAAAAAAAAAAGUGGAAAAAUUACCAUGAGAGCACUGAUCGAUCACUCCCAUCUUUCCCAUUUUCACCACCACCACCUCCUCCUCCUCCUCCCUCCUCCUCCACCACCACCGCGGGAGCUCCAUCUCCCGACCCCCAAAACCACCACCAUCGGAAACCGCUCGAAGCUUCGCGAAGCCGAAACCCACUCGCCGAACCCAACACCACAAGAAGGAAUUGGGGAAGCCUCGGGAGGAGCGAGUGGGAACCGCGGAGCGGAGAAGCGCUUCUCCCCCAACAAGAAGCGGUUCUGCGGAGAGAGGAGAUGGCUUUGGGAGAGAAGGGGAUGGUGGAGUCGAAGGCGUUGAAUGCAAUGGCGAUUUGCGGAGCGUUGCCGCCAUUGUCGCGCUGCAGCGGAGCAUCGGAGAGAGGGGAGAGAGGGGGAGUGUCCGAUGAGGGUUUGUAAAUUUAUUACCAACAAGGUGUUGUAAUUGCAGUAGAUUCUCAGUUUAGAAAUUUUUAGGGCCGUUUUAGUUUGUUUUAAAACAACAGUGAGAAAUUUACUUGCUACACCAAAUAUAUAUAUAUAUAUAUAUAUAUAUAUAGAGGAGAGAGAGAGAGAGAGAGAGAGAGAGAGAGUGUGUGUGUAUGUGUGUAGAGUUACUAUGCUAUCGGAAAUAUAGAGGAUUUAUACUUCCGACUUUUUGACCUUAUAUCAAGAAUUCUUAUAAUUAGGAUAAUUGUGGUCUCUCAUAAGGUUGAGUAGUAUCCUAAGAUUGAGUGAUCUGCACAGAGUAAUAAAAUUAAUCCAAAAAUUAGAAAUGAUCAAAGAGUUGAUCUAAGAGCCACAAAAUUGGAACUAUCAAUCCUCUAUGCUUCUGAUAACAUAGCAACUUUAACUACUAUAUAUAUAUAUAUAUAUAUAUAUAUAUAUAUAGUCGGACUAGAAUACUAUUGAUAGCAAAAGGUCAUUUUUUACUAUCAAGUUUUUAGCCUAUAGAUCAAUUCCUUUCAUCACUUCUAACCAUUGUAUUAAAUAUUAUAAUCCAGUGAGGAUCACUCAACCCUAAAUAUUAUUCUAACCUUACAAAUUCUCAUCCAAUAGUUAAAAACUUAAUAACAAAAAAGGUCAUUCGCUAUCAACAGUAUUCCAGCCCAACUCUAUAUAUUUAUAUAUAUAUAUAUAGAGAGAGAGAGAGAGAGAGAGAGAGAGUUGAGCUUCUAUGCUUUUAAAAGUACCAAAUUAUUAGUGUUUGUAGAUUUUUGGCUUUUGGAUUAAGGGAUGUGCGGUUAGGAUUAUGUGGGACCUCUAGGAUUGAAUGGAUGGUUGGUUGAAUAGUAUGAUAUAAAAGAUAGAAAUGAUCAAAGGGAUAGAUCUAACAGUAAAAAAUUUACAAGUACAAAGUGUUUGGUAUUUUUACAAACACCAUAGCCGGAUACUCUCUCUUUCUCUAUAUAUAUAUAUAUAUAUAGAUUUUACACUAUAUACUUAACAUUCAAAAAAAUUCAAAUUGUUACAGCAAAAAGGGAAAGGAAAAUUUGAUUGUGAUAAGUAAAAAAUAAUAAUUUUUGGUACAAAAGUACAAGAUAUAUACCCAAUUUUUGGUGUAUACGGACUAUUGCUAAGAAGCAAAAUAAAAGCUCUGUUUGUAUAUUUGAAAAGAGAGUAUAGAUCUUAUACCCCACAUAUUAGGAUUUACAAAAAUUCAAAUUAUCUUUAGUAAAUAAGAAAAAAUUUAAUAUAAUAAGUAAAAAAUGAUAGCCAUUGAAUUAAAAGGCUGUAAAAUGUACGCUUUAGGAUGUACUAAUUGCAUUACUUAGAAAGGAAGAGAAAAUUUAUUUAUACACUCCAAAAAAGCUUGUAAAGAAAAAAAAAGAAAAGAAAAAUGAUGUGAUUGGUAAAGAAUAAUGUCCUUCGGAUUAAAAGAGUGGUAAAAAAAGGUUGUUGCUAACUGUGCAUUUUCACAUAGUUGCAGGGAGUAUAUUUGCAUUAUAUGUAGUGGUGCAAAUCGGUUUGGCCCAGCUCGGAUUCAAUUUCGGGCCCGGCCGUACCAGACCCAAGUUGCCUAUCCUCUCGCCCGGCACAGCCCUUCGGCUUGAAAGGCACGGGCCGUGCCAGGGCGGGCCGUGCUUCGGGCCGGCCUAGUACAGUAUUUAUUUUUUAAUUUUUUUUAAAAAAUUAAGUAUAAAAUUUUAAAAAAUAAACAAUAAAUAUUUUUAUUUAAAUUAAUAUUUUGAUUAAAAUAUUAAAAAAAAUCAUAAAAAUAAUCAUACUAAAAUAAAUACUUAAUUUAAAAAAAAAAAUUGCAUUAUUUUUUUGAAAAAAAAAAGAGAUAGAUUUUUGGUCCAAUGGACCAAAAUUCUUUUGUCCAUUGGACCAAAACCUUCUCCUCCCAAGGCUUGCUAGACAGACCUUAGGAGGAGAGCUCCUUGGGAGAAGGGCACCUCAGGAGCUCAGACCCCAUGGCCCAAGGCAAUUGGAUCUCGGGGUCCAGGCUUGGGCCGCUCGCCUCCCUUCGGCACGAUAUAGCCCAGGCCCGUUUCAGGUCAUACCGUGCCGGGCCGUCGUGCUCCAAAUAAAAGGCCUAGCACGGCCCAGAGCCUCGGGCCAGGCCGGCCCGGCACAAGUGCUAUAAUACUCGAGCCGUGCCGUGCUGUUGCCCGGCCCGAGGCCAUGCCGUGCAGGGCGGCCCACGUACCGCACAACCCGUUUUACAUCCCUAGGAGCAAAAUAGUAGCUUACAAUGUUUGGUGGUGGGAAAUGAAUUUUAAGAGGUAGUUAGGUAGCUUAAUACAAGUGAUUGUGUUUUGGAGUUCUUUGACUCCAACAAAGUUGUUGCUAGGGCUGGUAAUUCAGCUCGCUGCUCGUGAGUCAGCUCAUGUUUGACUUAGAAUGAGCUCGAGAUCGAUUGCUUGUUCAAUAAACAAAUCUAACAUGAGUUGAAUUUUUCAGCUCAAAAGUUUAACAAGCCGAAAACUAGUUAGAGUCAACUCUAACGAGUCGAACAUGAGCUAACUUGCAAACAACAAAUUAGAUUGUCAGCCCUACUAAUGGAUAAAAAGUUGAAAGAAAUUAGAAAAUUAGAAUCUUAAUCUACUAAUUGGUAUUCACAAAAUAUAAUUUUCUUUACAUUAUAUACAGAGAGAUAGAGCUAGACUCUUAUACUAUCUGUAAUACCGAAACUCUGGCACUAUAGUCUCGCUUUUAAUCUUUGAAUGUUCAAAUCAGCGAUCCAUACCGUUAAAACUGAUCUAUUGUAUUUUAAAAUUUUUAGAAAUAAAAUUUUAUAUUUUUUCGAUAUAGUUUAUUUUAUGAUCAAAAUAUUUCAAAAUUGUCAAUUUUCAAUGACUAGUAUGGUGAAUUUAUAGUUUAAAGGUGUAGAAGAAUCUAAAUUUAUUCAAAUUUUGAUAGAAAAUACUUUAAACUAUCAAAAUCAAGAACAACAUCCUUGAUCUUGAAUUUAAAAGUUCUAUCCUCAAAUUUUAAAAAUUGUUCAAUUUCAACCAUUCAUUUUGACAUGAUUUACUUACUACGUAAACAAUGUCGAAAAAAAUCAAAAUUUUAUUUCUAUGAACUUCAUAUACCCUAUAUCAUAUUUAACAGUAUAGAUCGUUGAUUUGAACAUCCUAAUAUCAAAAACGAGAUUAUAGUAUCGGAGCUCCGGUACUACAGAUAGUAUAGUACUCUAAUUCUAUAUAUAUAUCUAUAUCUAUACUCUAUGUAAAAGCAUAUAAGAAUUCUGGCAAUGACAAACGGAAUUCAAAAAGGAAUAAAAUAAUAUCUCUACAUUUCCUACAAACGGAUAUGAUCAGUUUAUUAAAAAAAUCUCAAAUAAGAACAGUUAUGAUCAAUCUGUUAAAAAAUAGCAUUCUUAUCUAUCUAUAAAUCCAAUCCUACGAACAGUUGUAUCAAUUAAAAAUGAACGGCUAUGAUCAAUCUGUUAAAGAUAGCAUUCUUAUUCAUUUAUAAAUUCAAUUCUAUGAACGGUUGUGAUCAAUUAAAAACGAACGAUUAUAAUUAAUCAGUUAAAAUUUUAAUCUAAAUAAAAAAUUAAACUUUAUUAUAAAUUUAAAUUUAAAAAAAGUUUAAAUCGUAAAUUAAAUUUAAUUUGGGUAUCAAAUUUGAACUAUUCAUCAAUUGUGAUUAAUUAAAAACGAACGGUUAUGAUCAAUCUGUUAAAAUUUUAAUUUAUAUCGAGUCUACAAACGAUUGUGAUCAAUUAAAAACAAAUGGUUAUGAUCAAUUAAAAACGAACGGUUAUGAUCAAUCUAUUAAAAAAUAGUAUUCCUAUCUAUAUCUAUACUAUAUAUAUAUAUAAAAGCGUAUAAGAAUAUUUCCUACGAACGUUUAUGAUAAAUUUAUAAAAAAAAAUAUCUCAUACAAGAUCAAAAAUACCCUCAAUAUUUGUAUUUUCUAUCUGCGCAUUUCUCAAAUAUUUUCUUUCUAUCCGCCAAUCACGUAAUAUAUAAAAUUAAAUUAAUAUCCGACAAUCACGUAAUAUGUAAAACUAAAUUUAUCUCUUAUCUACGCAUUUUUUCAAAUAUUUUUUUUUCUCAAAUGUAAUAGCCGUCAAUCACAUAGCACUCAAAAUUAAAUUUUAAAUUUUGAAUUAAGCAUAAAUUAAAUCUAUUAUAUACACUUUCUACGUGUUUUCUUAAAUAUUUUCUUUCAUAGUACCCGCCAAUCACGUAGUGCUCUAAAUUAAAUUUUAAAUUUUACUUUAAAUUUUGAAUUAAAUAUGAAUUAAAUCUACUAUCUACACGUUUUCUCAAAUAUUUUCUUUCUAACAUACCGCCAAUCUUUUCUAACGUAAUUCAUGCCAAAAUUUAAUACUUGCAAAUAUGAUAAUUUAAAAUUUAAUUCAUGAUAAUAUAUUUUCUUACGUGAUAUAGUAGAUUUAAUUUUAGGGUAUUACAUUUUGGCGUGCCAUGUAAGCGUAGAAUAUUACUAAAAAAAUUUAAUACCUGCCCAAUCAAAUGUAAAUCAUUAAUUAAAUAUAAUUUUAAUUUUUUUUAGCAAAAUAUUUAAUGUUUAACUAAUACCCGCUAAAAUAUUCUACACUUAACGUGUUUCUCAAAUAGAGAGCUUAUCUUAAUAUUAUUAAAAAAAUUUAAUAUCUGCCCAAUCAAAUGUAAAUCGUUAAUUAAAUAUAAUUUUAAUUUUUUUUAGCAAAAUAUUCAAUGUUUAACUAAUACCCGCUAAAAUAUUCUACACUUAACGCGUUUCUCAACUAGAGAGCUUAUCUUAUUACUCUCGCAUAAUACUAAUCUACACUAUCUAAUCUUAUCUCAUCAUAAUACUUAUCAUACGCAUAUCUUUUUUCAGUAUUUCCCUAUUUCCAAAAAAGAUAUUUUUCCAUUUCCACCCAAAUCUAUAUUGUUUUUAGUAAUAUUCUUUUUUAUUUGUAUCUUUUUCAAAUAUUUUCAAUUUUUUUUUUACUAAUAUCCUUUCUCAUUUGUCCCUGUCGCUAGCAUCGGCACAUCGUCAUCGUCCUCUUCACUGUCAUCGUCAGCACCAAUGCCGCCACAUUAUCGCCUUCGCCACCUUCGCCACAUUUAGAGAGGUAUUUUGAUUUAACCUAAAAUUUUCUCUUUUUUUUUAUGUGAUUUUAUACUGUUUUAGUAUAUCUCUUUUUAGUAUUUCUUUAUUUUCAUCUAUAUAUUUCUCAAAUAUAAAUUAUAUAUUUUUUCACAUAUAUUUUUCUCAAAUAUUUUUUUUAGUAAUAUCCUUUUUCAUUUAUCCCCGUCAUCAGCACUAGUGCACUAUCAUCAUUCUCCUCAUUGUCAUCGUCAUCAUCGGCGCCGGCAUAUUGUCGUUUUGGGCACUUUCACCACAGUUGGAGAUGUAUUUGGAUCUCACUUGAAAUUCUUUUUUUAAUGUGCUUUUAUACUGUUUUACUUUUUAAGUUUUUUUUCAGAACUUUUAUCUCUCAUAUUGAGAUUGGGGUUAAAUUUAAGCAUAAACAGAAAUAAAAUUAUUAUUUGGAAUUUGAAUUGCUCAGAUUAAAUAUGGAUAAGCCUGCAUAAUUUCGGCCUAUAGCAUAUUUAGAUUUGUACUUAUGACUGUAAUAAACUCACUGGGCUAAACUAAAAAACCAAAAAAAAAAAGAGAAAUGUAGCUAAUUAAUUUGGGCUUGAACUUGCUUAGAUUGUAAUUUGGACUUGAAAUUGCUUAGAUCUGAAAUAAAUUUAUUAGGAAAAGAAAGAUUUGAGUUGAUUUGGGCUUAGGCUUGCUUGGGUGUACUAAAUUAUAUAUACUACUUAUAAAAAAUAAGUUUUAAUUUUUUUUUCUUUUUCAAAAUGCUAUCCCCUAUUAAUAUAAUUUCAAUCACAUACUAACAAUAUCACUCAGUCAAUUUUUAUAGAUAUAAAUCACAGUGGUAUAAUUUUUAUUUCAUUUUUAAAUUAUCAUAAAAUGUAUUAAUUCUUAGUCAUUGGAUAUAAUCCAAUGACCAACGAAUUAAGUAUCUGUCACUUUUUUUUUUACCUACCCUAUCUCCUUAGACUUCUUUAAAAAAAAAAUUCAUGCCAAUGGUUAUGAUUAAUUUAUUAAAAACAUCUCAAAUAAAAAUAAAUAGUUAUAAUCAAUCUAUUAAAACAUAGCAUUCUUAUCUAUCAAUAUAUUAAAUCUUUAAAUGGUUAUGAUUUAACCAUUAAAAUUUUUUAAGUAUAAUGGAUCAAAAUUAAAUUUUAACAAAUUUAAGUUUAUAAAUUUUGGAUAUCACGUUUGAAUUAACAAUUAAAAUAUUUAAUUACGAUGAAUCAAAAUUAAAUUUCAAAUUUUAAAGUAAAUGUGAAUUAAAUUUUAAUAUUUUUAGUUUAAAUAACAUACUUAAAUUUUAAAUUUAUCCAAAUUCAAAAAUAUAUAAAAAUAUUCAAUGUAUAUAUUGAAAAAAUAAUAUAAAAUGUUGCAGAUAUUUUCUAAUAAAAUAUAACAUAUUAAUUUAUAAAACAUAGUUUUUGUUGUAAAUUUUUGAAAAAAAAUAUAAUGUUAAAAAUUUAUAUUGAUUUGAAAUAAAUUAAAAUAAUUUUUUGUGCAUUUGCAUGUACACUCAGCUAAUAUAAUAAACAAGCCGAAGACGUGAUGAAUAUUUUAACUCAAUAUUUUAACAGGCAAGCUCAUGUUUGGCUUGAUUAAUAAACGAGUGAACACAAGGCGACCCCAACUCGCUUGCGUUCGGCUCAUUUGCAGGCCCCAUUUAGCUUCUCAAUAAUAACUUGUGAUAGAAAGCAUAUAUAAUUAGAAAGAGUUUCAAACUUAGCUCACACUAUCUAUAAAAUAGAGAGGCAAUUGCUUAUAUAUCCAUAAAAAGUUUCCGACUUUCUAAUUUACCCCUCUUAGAAGGCUAAUAUUGAAAAUACCCUUUUUAAGUUCCAACUCAUUUCAAAUAUACCCCUAUAGUUAAAACCUGUUAAUAAAUUUUGUUAUCUGUAUAAAAUUACUAUUUUACCCUUUCAAAUAUACCCUUCCAUCAUUACCGACUUUUCUUAUUUGCCCUUAAGUCAGGGGCAUAAAAGUAUUUUGACUUUUGGUCUUUUCAAAUAUACUCCUCUACCAUUACCAACAUUUCUUAUUUACCAUUAAGUUAAGGGCAAAAUUAAUAUUUUAAAUUUUUUUUAACUGUGGUAGAUAUUUAACUCACGUUUAACUCAAGUUAACUUAACGGGUACGGUGGUAACUGUGACAUAUGAGAAGUUUAUUGAAAAGAAAAAAAAAAUAGUGGUAAAUGAGACAUUCCCGAAAUUUCGCAAUUAUCCCUAAAAUAGAAAAUAAAUCAAUGAUGAAAAAAAAAAAUUUGAACCAUUCCCAGACGUUUUGCCUCUUGCUUCGUCUUUUCAUCUGCCUACUUUUUAAUUAAUGUAUUCACAUGGUCUAUUAUCACCUAAAUAAAUCGUUUUUACAAGAAAAAAAUAAUAAAAUAAAAUUUUUUUUACUCUUUUUUUUUCAUACUAGUAUUUAUUCAUGUCUCAUGGCAAUUCAAAAAAUUUUAAAAUUUUUAUUUUAUCAAUCUUCUAUCUUUUAUAGUUUUAACCCGCCGCAAUGCGCGGGUGAUUUCACUAUUACCCAUGGUGACGGUACAAAUGUUAUGUAAACCAGCCCACAGCAAUGCACGCAUGAUGAGAAAUAAACAGUACAUGCAUAUGAUCAUACCAGUCAUAAUAAAUAUAUUAUCGCAAACAGAAGAAAACAGCACUAAAGCACAUUCAGGAUGUGCAGGCAGGAGGCUUUCAAAAGCGCGAGGCAAGUUCUUCCACCGAAGAUGGUCGAGCAGCAACGCACCGCUGAAGCAAAUUCAUUUGUUAGUGUUUUAAGAUUACCUUACCACAAAAGUUGCGUAGAUAACCGCCAAAGUUGGUGUUUACUUGCGUGCCUCUGAAAGCAAGCUGUAUUUACAUGCAGAAAACGUUUUGGAAACAUAUUUUAAUUCUGUACACCUACAAAGUAAUUUGUGGAGCAACAUAUAUACGUGACAAAGUUGUUACUUCCAAUUUAUUCAACAUCGAUUAAGGACAAGUUCCCGAUGAUGCACUGACACGAACUAUCAUGACUAACCCCACGAACCGAUACGAAUCGAUCACUGAUCAGGAAAUUCUAAGAGGUCUCGUGCUUCUCUUGACCGGAGGGAUCGAAAUUCCUGAUCUCGAGUGAUGAGUCAAGCCCGACGUCACCAUUGAAUGGAGCCGGAUUUCCACAAUGCUGAGGUUUGCGCUCGACUGCAUCGAGGAACUCCGUCAUGUCUUCACUCAAUCUAGCCUGAUCAUUAACGAAUUCGUCCGGCCUAGAGAAUUCUUCUGUAGGUGACAUCUCUCGCACACUCGAUUUUGGACCUGACAUUAGUGUACUCAGACAUGAAAACAAGUUAUACCGUGAUCGGUGUUCGAAUAUAUAAAAAGGAUCAAUGAAAUUCGAAUGAAAUUCAAAACACUUGAUGGUGAUUCUUACCAGGAAGCGACUCGUGGGGAAUCGUAGCUAAAAGAUCGCUGACAGUAGGUGAAUUGUGACUUUCGGGCGUCGAUUGAGGUCUCGAAUUAGAUAGUACCUGAUGAACCACUGCUUCCAACAUGCCGUCGUUUUGCGGUGGGACACAUUCACUUUGAACAGAUGUGCUUGGGACAUGAGCUUGAGCAUAAGCAUCAACCGAGUCGAAAGGAAUUGGCAAGGGAAAGAGCUCCAUGGGCUCAUCAAGAAGCCCGUCAAAGGACGCAAAGCCAAAGGAAUUGCCGCAUACGAGCGCGUGAUCAUUCCUGCUAAUAACGGAACUGCAAGAAGGCGCAAAGUUGUUAGUAAACUGGUAAUAAAUGGGCGAACCAAGACCGCAUUCAGGCUCAUCGGAUAAAUGCACGAGUGGUGGAAGUCCGGCAGAGAAUGGAUCUGUCAGUGCAUAAAUUUCUGACUGGAAAUCUUGAACAAGCAUGUUUGCAGGGUGAAAACUAUCCAUUUGGUGGUUAGAAUUCGCGCACUCAUUUAUGCAAUAGGAAAUCUCAGAGCCAUUUUCUUGCGAAAGCUCGUAGGGUGGAUUAAUGCCGCCGUCGAAUGCACCGAGAAUCUGUGUUUGCUGCUGCUGCUCUUCAUUCAACACCUGGAGCUGGACAUUAUCAGGAUAUGAGGCCAGUUUGGCGCGCUUGAGCCUCUUCCUUCUAGUGUUCCAGAAGUUCUUUAUCUCAUUAUCAGUGCGCCCUGGCAACUAAGGAAAGAGUAAGCUGGAAUUAAAGUGUUAAAAACCACAACUGAUGAUCUGAAGGAAGAAAUUAUUCCACUGACACAUGAUACUGAAAGAAAAAGGACUACUACUAUAAGUGCAACAAGAUUAAAAUGGCACAAUAGUUCUUAUUAGUACUUCGAAUCAUCUUUCAUUAUGCAACUUAAAUAUUUCUUGCAGUUUUUCACAAACUGAGCUCAGUUUGUGUCAGCUAAUUAGAUGAAAUAUCCAUUUUAGUCCUACAAUGUACAAUUGGAGCUCUUCUUGUUCCCUAAGGUAGCGUUUGGUUCGGAAACAAAGGAGGGGAAUAAGCCGUUGUUCCCUCUUUUGUUCCCAAACGCUGCGUUUGGUACCCGAGAAUAGUAGUUCUCGGAUUUCUGAAACAAAGCGGUAUAAGGCUGGACUGCUGUUUCACCUUUUCCCUGAAACAAGCUUGUUUUCAGGUGAGAAUAAGGUUAAUUAAAGUCUAAAAAUAAUUUUAAUUAUAAUAUUAAAUAAUUAAUUAAUUUAAUUAAUGUAUUUAAAUCAUUAUUUAUUGCUUAAAUAAUGAUUUAAAUUAUUCUUAAUUUAUUAUUUAUUUUAUUAUUAAUUAAUUUAUUUAUUAUUUAUAAUUAUUCUUAAUUUAUUAUUAUAUACUAUAUUAUCUAAUUAAUUAAUUAUUAAUAAUUUAUUAUUUAUAAAUUUAUUAUUAACUAAUUAAUUUAUAUUUUAUAAUUGUAACUCUUAUUCACUUUGUUGUAAUCCAACCAUCCAAACAGUAUUUAUUUUAUUCCUAUAAACAACUCGUGAAUUUUAACUAAACACUGGCCAAAAAAAGUCUUCAAUAUUGUCGGGGAAUGCUUGCUAAUAUGAUUUAGUCACAUUAUCAUUAAGGUCUAAUGUGGUUAUUGUAGCGCGACAAUGACGGAACUCACACUAUUAAGAUACUAACCGUGCUAAUUAACCAAUAGAUACAUAGGAUCCCAAUAACCCCCAACCAAAAUAUGCAAACAAUUGAAGUAAAAUAAGUAGAAAGAGAAAGCCCGAGUUCAACCAUAUGACAAACAGAUCCAUGUGGUUUACCCGCACUGGACUGCUCCACGAGCACGAAGAAGAUCCAAUUCACCAUCAAAAUGAAAAAAAUUAUACUGAGUUGGAUAGAAAUAAAGGAAUAAAUAUUUUUUAAAAAUUAAUAUUUUUAUUCUUGGAAUAACCUACUAUUCUAAACUACAGAGUAAUAAACAAAAAAUUGUCUUUAAUUUGAUAUUUUUUAUUUUUAUUGCCUGGAAUGACCAUAUUCUUAUUUGAUAAUUUUAGGAAAAACUUCAAAAACCCCCCAUAUGGUUUCGUAGUUUCUCACUUUGCCCCCCUGUGAUUUAAAAUGUAUCAAUUUGCCCCCUAAUGGUUUCAUUUUUAUCUUUUCGGUAGCUUUUUCGUUAAUAUUUCAUUAAAUUAUAUACAAAAAACUUCAGAUACCCAUCUAGAUUUAUCAAAUAUUCACUUUAGUACCCUUUAAUUUUAACUUUAUCACUGAUUUAAGAAAAAAAAAUAAUAAAAUUGAUAAGAAAAAGAGAAAAAAGAAACCACAGGGGGGCAAAUUGAUACAUUUUAAAUCACAGGAGGACAAAGUAAGAAACUACGAAACCACAUGGGGUUUUUUUGAAGUUUUCCCAUAAUUUUAUUAAGAAUAGUUAAAAUAGUAGAUUAAAGUUUAUAGAAUCAAGAUUUGUCCUUAUUUAUAUCUCUUACUUAUAGAAUAUUUAAUAUACGUACAAUAAUGCAUAUAAAAAUAAUAUAUUUCAUAAAAUAUAAAUAAUUAAAAUGUUAUAUAUAUAAUGCUAUUAUAAUCAUAUAAUUACCUUAUACAGAAUACUUCAAUAUUAUUAUAUAAAAUACUUCAACAACAAUAUAUAAAAAUACAUCAAAAAUAAUAUAUGUAUGUAAAUAAUUAAUGACAAUAUAUUUUUGAACAUUAUAUAUUUAUAAUAUAUUUAUAACCUUAUAUAAUAUUUUAUUUUUAUAGUAUAUGGUACAUUAUAGAAUAAUGUCUAAUAUAAAUUUAUAACAUUAAUAAAGAUAAUAUAAUAUAAUAAUAGCACUAGUACUUGUUUUAGCAUUAAUAAUAACAUUGUUGAGGUAAAACAAAUAAAUAAAAAAAGAUUAUGGUUGGCCUGUAAUAUUAAUUUCGACUUAUUCAAUUUUAAUAGGCCUCGUAUGAGCUUAGAAAUUUUUGAAUAUAAACAUAAUUCGGGCCCAACAAUAAUAAUCCAAACCCGUUUAAAAGGUUCCACAUAUGAGCACACUCAUGUGGGCCUCAGAAAAUCCCGUUGAAUUUUCUUUUAGUCUAUCGAAAAAUUCAGGCUUCAUUUCAGUCUAACGAAUAUUAUUAUUUGGGCUCAAUUGAUUUGGAUUCAACCCGACCCAUUGGAUGCAUGACAGCCCAUAUCUGUAUCCACAUUCGAAAAUUUAAUUUUUUUAAAACAAUAUAAUAUGUUCAAAUUCAAUUUUAAAUUUUUUUAAAACACCAAUCAAUUAGAAAAUAUCUCUUAUCCUAACGAUCUCAUAUAUAUUCUUUUUCAUUCAAAAUUCAAUUUCGAAUUUUGAAUCACCAACCAACUCCAUAAAUAUUCUUUUCUCAGCCAAUCACAUCCACAUUCUAAAAUUCAAGUUCGAAUUUCAAAAAAAAUUCAAAUUUUUUAACUGACUUCUCAAAAUAUUUUUCACCCAACCCCACAAAUCGCUUCACUCUCAAAAAUAUUUCAGAAACUAUAAAUAAAGGAUAAGAAAAGAUAACACAAAGAGAGCACAAAAAAAAAGAAAAUCUCCCUCCCUCUCUUCCCUUAUAUAUAUAUAUACUAGUGUUGGGCCCGCGCUUCGCGACGGGUAAAUAAUAUUUUAUCAAAUUUAAACAUUUUAAUUUAUACAAAUUUUAAUAAAUAGUUUGUAGUAUUUUAGAAAAUUUAAAAAUUUUAAUUUGUACCCAAUCCAAACGGGCCUAAGUGUAUCAAAUAUGAUACAGGAGAUUAUUUUCUGCCUAUAUAAAAAUAUGCAUUAUAUCAUAUAUAGGUGAUAAUAAAUUAUCUAUAGAUGAACAUAUCAAAUCUUUGUGGCAUAGUAUAUUAAAAAUUAAUAUAGUCUUUACUUCCUAAAGGGAAAAAAUAAAAAAAAAACUAAUUGGUUAACUGACACUAAGUUUUUAAUUGAUUAUCUUCUUCUCUAAUCAAAUGAAUAUAUUAAUUUGAUCGGAUUAAUCUACUUUUUCGAUAAAGGAUAAUGAUGCAAAUUGGCUAAAAAAAUAAAAAAUUGGGACACUAUAAAUGCAUGACAAAGAAAAGGAAAAGAAGAAUAAAGUAAUCUACUAUAUUGGAAAAACAAGAAAAGAAACAAUAUUAUAGACCAAAAAUCUAAUAAAUUUUCCAUUCUACUUUAGUCGAUAUUUAUAGUGUGCUUAUAAUUGAAAAUUUUUAUAACUGUUAUCUAUGAAAAAGAAGAGACAAUAUAGAAAGAGUAAAUGGGGAAUUUAAUUCUCUUAUUUAAUUUUUAUUAGAUGAACUGUCAAAUUAAAAAAAGCAUUAUUGGAAACUUUAUUUAAAAAUUCCACUCUUAGAAAGAAAAACGGUCAAAUUAAAUGUGCAUUAAUUUAGAAAUUUUUAUUUGUUUAAAGUAGAGCAUGAAGCUAAUUACUUUCAGCUACUAAUUAUGGAAGCCAAAAAGAUUAUUAUAUAUAUAACAACAUUGGAUUAAUUAUAUGUAUUAAUUAUAUAUUAAACUAUAGUUAUUAUUGUGAUUAUAUAUCCAUAUCAGUUACUGAUCAUUAAAUUUUUCAUUUUGUUCUUUCAAAAUAUGGUAAGAAUUAUAAAUUAUAGAUAAGAAGUGGUUUAAUUCAAAGAGGGGCUGUAAGAAUGAAAGAUAACUUGCCAUGUGACAAGAAUUAUUGUGGCUUCAUAUAUAUAUAUAUAUAUAUAGCAGGGCUGCUGUGCUCCUAAGCCGUUUUCGAUGAUGGAGUUUCCGAAUCAACGAUCGGCUCCAUUAAACUUGAUCUAGCGUAUUUGAAGCUUCUAGAAAAUAAUUUUUGUAAUUUUUCGAUAUCAUUUACCUAGCAAUCGAAAUGAUUCAAAAUCAAUAAUUUUUAAUGGCUGAAAAUAAAAUUCUAUAAAAAAUGGUGAUAUAGCACUAAAAUUUUCGAUCGGAAAUAUUGAUCUUGUUGUAGAUAGUAUUAAAAAUUUUGUAUCAAAAUUUUAUCUGAUUUGAAUACUUUUACACCGUUAAACUUGAAAACGGCAGAUAUCAACCAUUAAAUAUUAUGGAUUUUGAAUCCUUUCGAUCACCAGGUAAAUGAUAUCAAGAAGCUUUAAAUACGCUAGAUCAAGUUUAACGGAGCUGAUCGUCGAUUCGGAAACUCCAUCAUCGAAAACGGCUCAGGAGCACAGAGGCCUCCGUGCUUCUGAGAGUACAGCAGCCCUGCUAUAUAUAUAUAUAUAUAUAUAUAUAUAUAUAUAUAUAUAUAUAUAUCAAAAUAAAAAAAAACUCUUUUUCUCCCCCCCCUUUUUUUUUUUUAACCCUGCAUAGGUCAUGCCACUAUCGUCAUCUACACUAUAGUCAUCUUCAACCACAUCGGUUUGACAUUUUCGAAGGAAGAGGAGAGGGGAGCCAAUGAUUUUCCGUUUUUUCGGACCCUUCAACUCUUUUCGAGAAUGUUAAAUCAAGCAUGCCGGGUAUCAUCAUCUAUGCGACCAUUGUCAUCUACGCUGUAGUCAUCUUCAACCUUGUCCGUCCGUUUGACGUUUUCGAAGAAAGAGGGAAGGGGAACAAAUGGUUUUCCGUUUCUUCGAACCAUUCGACUUCUUUUGAGAACAUUGAAUCCCUCACACCAGCCAAAAAAAAAAAAAAAAAAAAAAGGGAGAAAAAGAGAGAAAACACAAAAAUUCUAUUGCGAAUGAUUUCUUCGGACAAUCGUACUCAAAAUUCAUUCAUUUUGACUCAAACUGAUGAUUUCUUCGGACAUUUGGAUUUUAGUUCAAUCAAAAUUGCAAUAAGAUUAAAAAGAGAAUUUUUUCCGACCCCAAAUUAAAAUUGUAAUUUUAAAAAGAGGAUUUUUUCAGACCCCAAAUCAAAAUUGCAAUUUAAAAAGAGAAUUUCUUCGGAUCCCAAAUUUAAAUUGUAAUAAAUCAAAAAAAAAAUUUUCUUCGGAUCUCAAUUCCAAACAAAAUAAAUUUAAAGGUGUAUGCAAAGCAGCUCAUAUAGCCUUAACCCAAAUCUAGCCCAAAUCCAAUCCACUUAAAAAUAAGAUCCAAAAGCCAUAAAACCUAAACCCAUAAAAGCACAAAUUCAAUCAAAUCCAUCAUAAAAGCCCAAAUACAAUUUAAUUACCAUAAAUGCCCAAAUCCAAUCAACUCCACCAUAAAAGCCCAAAUUCAAUCUAGUCCACCAUAGAAGCCCAAAUCCAAUCUAGUCCACCAUCCAAGAGCCCAAAUCCAAUCUAGUCCACCAUCCAAGACCCCAAAUCCAAUCAAAUCCACAAAAACAACCAAGUCCAUAUCUAAUCCACUAUAAAAAUUUGAGCUCAAUCCAAUCUACCAUCCAAAAACCCAAAUCCAAUCAAGCGUAACCCAAUCUAACCCAAACUCAACUUCAAACAUGAACUUUUACCAUAAACCAAUUUUUUUUUUUUUUUUUUUCACGGAUUAUGAACCAAAUCCCAUACCCAAACCCUAUACACCAAUCUUAUGAACUAUGCCAAAACUUUACAAGCAAAAUCACACCCAAAUCUCAUACAUCAAGUUCUAUCACGAAGCCAACCUCGUCAUGGGUCUCGACCUUUUGCUCUACUACAUAUAACUAGAGUAAAAGUCAAAUCAAAUUCGACUAAUUCUAACACAUAUAUUUAAGGUCUAGUCAAUUUUUUGUUCUAGCGCAUAUAACUAAAGUGAAAGUCAAAUCAUCUGACUAACCCUAACACUUAUACUUAAAAGGGUAUAGUCAACCUUUUGCCCUAAUAUAUAUAAUUAGAGUGAAAGUCAAAUUAAAUUCAACUAAUCCUAGCAUAUAUACUUUGAAUCUAGUUAAUCUUUUACUCUAACACGUAUACCUAGACUAGAAGUCAAAUCAAGCCCGACUAGUCAUAAUAUAUAUAUUUAGAGUCUAGUUAGUCUUUUGCUCUAGCCUAUUUAUCUAGAAUGAAACCCAUAAAUAAUCAAACUCUAAUACAUACACUUAGAGUUCAUUAAAAUCAAAUCCAACGAACCCUAACGCAAUACCUUAGAGCUUAGUCAGAUUCUCACUUUAGCACAUAUAACUAGAGUGAAAAAUAUAUUAAACUCGGUUAAUUCUAAUACAUACACUUAAAAAUUAGUCACUCUUUACCUUCGGAUAACUUCAAACCCGACCUACCUCAAGACAUAUACUUGGGGUUUGGUCCAUCUUUACCUUAGCACAUACAACUGAGGUGAAAUCAAAUAUAAUUGGACUCUAAAACAUACUCUUACAACCAAUUAGACUCUAAUACAUAUAUUUAUAGUUUAAUAUCGACUAGGUCUUAUUACAUAUACUUAGGAUCUAGUCAACUUCAAAUUCAACUGAAUCCUAACAAAUACACUUAGAAUUCAGUCAAUCAUCAAGAUAUGAUUCAUUCCAUCCUCACUAUAAAAGUCUCCUAAUCAAAGGUAACCUAAUGGCAGGGGGUAAUUAAUAAUAGAUACUUGCGUCUAUUGGAAGCCAUGAAUUCGCAAUACCUGAUAUCCAUAUACAUAUAAUACUAAUCUGAAUCAUAAAUACUACCUCACGAAAAAUCCAAACAAAAAAAGAUCGACCAUGCGAGGUGUGUCAUUCGUGGUGGCAGACAAACAUUAAUAAGAAUAAUAACUACUAUUAGAACAAAGUUACUAUACUUUCGAAAGUACAAAGGAGUUUGUGCUUCCAACUUUUUGGAAGUUGGAUCAACUCUUUUGACCAUUUAUGAUAUUUGGAUUAAUAUUAUUAUCCUAGAGGGACCACUCAUCUUAGGAGAACCGGUUACAAGAUGAUCUAAAGUCCAGAAAAAAAGACUCUCUCCCGGUCGGUUUUGAUAGAUUGUUAACCCCGCUUCUUAGGUUUGGUCGAGGAUGGGUUCUUCCGGCUGUUGUGGUUUGACUUCCUUUUUCACUUUUUUUUGGUGGCUCCUUGAUUUUGAUGAUGGAUGAUCAUCGGGGGUGGACAUCUAUAUUCGGAACUAGCUCUGGUGAAAACUCGAUUGGCUCUUUCAAAGUGAGCAUAAAUCAACCAGCAGCAAAAGACGAUGACUCUUAGAAGAUAAGGCGACUACCUUAGACCUUGCUCGCAAAGAUUAUCCACCUUCAGCAGGUCAACAACUCCAUUCUGGUUCUGGGUGAGAGGGGUCAAGGUGGCAUGCCACCUCUUUGUGAAAAUGCCCCACCCCAGAUCUUUGCAUGUAGAUCUGGAGAUUACUGGUCGGAAGAUGCGUGGAAAGAGAGCGGCGGCUCCCUGCUGGAUCAGAAGAUCGAAAAGCACAUGAUUUUUUAAAGGAAAGGUCAAUAGCUACAAAUAGUGACUUCUCAACUGGCGAAAGCACCAAUUCCUUUACACUUUUGAAAGUAUAGUAGCUCUACACUUAUUAUUAUUAUUAUUAUAUUACUAUUACUAUUGAACAUUAUAAAAUAUUUUAAUGUAUCAUAUAUAUAAUAUAAAAUACUUUUAUAUUACUUUAAGUACCUUUAAUAAGCUAAGUAUAGAUAUCCCGGUCCGACUGAAAUAACUAUUCUUGCUAUUUUUUAGCUUCAUUUAGUUCGGAUAUAAGUAAGAAUUGCUUAUUUUAUGGAUAAAUACAAGUUCAUUAUAUAUAGAAACUAGAUCAAUUUUGCAUUUGGAUGCAAAUUGGGUUGUUCUGAAAAUAAUGUAGCAGUGUUUGAAUAGUUAGAUUAGUACACGGGGAAGAAGAGUUACAAUUUUAAAUUAAAAAUAUUUUAUCUAAUUAAUUAACAUAAAAAAUAUUAAUUAAAAAUAAUUUAGUAAACUAAUAAAUUUAUUAGCUAUGAAUAUUGUAUGAGAUAAUAAAAAUAUAUUAAUUAAUUAAUUGAAUACAAAAAUAAUUUAACUGUUUAAUUAGAUAGUAAAUUAUUUUAAUCAGAUAAUUAGUAAAGAAAUUAAUUAGAUUAUUCAAAAUACUAAUGGUUGAUCAAUAUAAAUACUAGUUUAUGAAUAAACACAUUAAAAUAUUAAUUUUAAUUAGCUAAUUAAUUAUCAUUAAUUAAUUAAUUAAUUAUUUAUUUAAGUAAUAGAUAAUGAUUUAGCUACAUUAAUUAAAUUAAUUAAUCAUUUAAUAUCAUAAUUAAAUUUAAAUUUAAAUUUAUUCUCACUUAAGAAAAAACUUGUUUCAGAAAAAAAGAGUGGAAAAAAGAUGAACAAUAGUUCCAGGCUUAGAACAAGAGGGUUCUAUCUCUAAGUUUUGAAUUAAGCAAGAAGAAUAAGAGAGCUUCUCCAAUCUUCAAUGUACCUCCCUUUAAAAGAGAAUCCUAGAGGGAAAAGACAAACUUUCAUACAUAAUAAAAAAAAACCUCUCAUAACAACUCAUUUAGCCUAAAUAAACCAAAAAGACUAAUAAAUAAAUUUGACAUUAAUUUAAUUUUUCUUUUCUUCUUCUUUCAACCAAACAACCUUAAUGAAAUAUUAUUUUUCUUUUCUGUAAAUCAAAUACUAAAGAGUGUAAAAUUUAUUUUUUUUGGAUUUUUUUUUUAUCAAAAACCAAACGUCCCCAUUAGCCAACUGUGCUUUUCUAGAAUGUAUUAAGCUUCAAUGAAUUUUCUUAUAUACGAGUUUUCCCGGGAAAAAAAAAAGUUAAACUCUUUAAAGCUAAAAAUUUUAGUUUAUAUAGUGUUUAGUACUAUAUAUUUCAGUUCUGUAAAUUAAAUUAUUGUCCUAUUACUUACAUUGAAUUAUACGGUUAUGUAUAAUAUUCUUGAUUUUUUCUUAAUCAUGUUCAUUACUUAUUAAUUAUACAAAUGUUUUAAAUAUAUUAUAAAUUAUGGAAGAUAGAGAUAAGGGCAAAGUUGUCAUUUCUAAUUAUUUCAAUCUACUUUUCUCACUAUUCUUCUCUUGUUUCAAAAAAUUAACCAAACAUCAUUUUACUUAUUCCAAUGAAUAAGCUGAUUUUAAACCAAACAACAAAUUACUUUUAUUUCUCUCCAUUCUAGAAUAAAGAGAUAUUCCAGGGACAAAAAUAAUUAAUCCUGAGAAUCUUAUUGUGCAGCCAAACGCAGCCUUAGAGUAAGCAUCUUAUCUAGUUAGAGUUUACACAAUUAUUUAGGUUAGGACACUUAGGGUACGUUUGUUUCAUCGAAGUUGAACUUUAGAUCGAAGUGAAAUUUGGUUGAAGUGGAGUUCGGUAAAAACUAUUUUUUUUCCGCUGUCUGUUUCAUAGUUUUGGAAGUGAAGCUUCAUUAGUUCUACCAUUUGUUUGGUAGAAAGUGUGUGAUGUAAAACUAUAAUUUAUAUAUAAAUAAUAAACAAUUUAAUAAAUAAAAAUAAUAUAAUUAUGUUUUUUAUAUAAUUAAAAUUUAAUUUAAAACAACUAAAUUAUUUUUUUAUACAUAAAUUAUAGUAAUACAACAAUAAAAUUAUAAAAUAAAAAAUAUUAAUACUUAAUUUAUCAAUUUUUAUCAUAUUUAAAUAUAACUAUUUUUACCUAGCAUAUUAUUUUAUUAUUUUUUUUACCUCUAUUCACCGUAAUUGACUUCGGCUCAUGAUGGGCCGAAGUCAAUUAUGCCGUUUCAAGUUAACUCGUUCCGACCGUAACUUUUUUACGGCGAACCAAACAACGAAAGUGAUAAUUGAUGACGAAAAGACUUUCUUUCUCUUCACUUCCACCCCAGUUCCAUCCAAACAAACAUGCCCUUAUAUGACAAGGUAUAUAAUAAGCAUAGGAUGAUCCGUUCAAACAAAUUAAUAAAAUCCUUCUCGAAAAGGUUAAUUUUCAUGUAGAUGAUGAAAUCUAAUCUAAUAUAGACAUUAUAAAAUAGAAAAAGUAAAAAAAUUUGCCAAAAUUAUGAUUUUACAUUGCCUCACUUUAUUUUAUAUAUAAAAAAUAACUCCAUAUUAUAAAAAUGAAAAUAAUCACGAUCUUAUAAUGGCUAAAAUAAAAAGAAAAAUGCUAACUCAAAAUAGAAUAUAAUUCUAUAUUAUCUUCAUUCAUUAGAAGGACUUCUUUUUUUUUUUCUUUUUAUUAAUUUUAUCGUAGGCCUCCGAUGCCGCCGAUGCCGCAAAAUCAUGAUCUUAUACAUGCAAAAAAAAAAAGAAAAAUGCUAACUCAAAAUAAAUUGUAAUUCUAUGCCAUCUUCAUUCAUUCAAAAGACUAUUUUUUUUUUUCUUCUUUUUAUUAUCUUAUCAUAAGAUUAUAUAUUUUUUUGUCGUAGAUUUUGACUGUCAUCUUCAUUCAUUGAAAUGACUAUAUUUUUUUUUUCUUCUUUUUAUUAUUUUAUCGUAAGAUUAUUUUUUUUUUGGUCGUAGAUUUUGACAUUUCUGAAAAUAAAAGCACACCGUACUUAUAACCGUAUUAGCCCACUUGUUCCCAAAUAUGGCAUGGAGUUCGACAAUGAUAUCCGCCUCCUAUGUCGCAAAAUCAUGAUCUUAUUCGUGCAAAAAUAAAAAGAAAAAUAAAAAGAAAAAUGCUAACUCAAAAUAGAUUGUAAUCCUACCCCAUCUUAUUUUUAUUAAUCUCAUUGUAAGAUUACAAUCUUUUCUGGUCGUAGACUUUGAUGUUUCUGAAAAUGAAAAGCACGUGGUACUUACGAAUUGAACCAUCUUCGCCCACUUGUUUCCAAGAAUGGAAUGGAGUUCGACAAUAAUCUCUGCCUCCUCCGGCGACAUCGGGUCUUUCCUCAAAUCCGGCCUCAGAUGAUUAAUCCAUCUGAGCCGACAACUUUUACCGCACCUCAAAAGCCCCGAAUUCUUCUGCACGACGUUCCAGUUCCCCUCUCCGUGCUUCGUCACGUACUCCGUCAAAAUCCUGUCUUCUUCGGCCGUCCAUGGUCCUUUUCUCAAAGCCACGACGACCGGUCCGUCGUUACUACAUUCCUUCUUCUUAGUUCUGAUCAUCUCAAUACACACUAUAUAUUGUUAGACUCUGUGAACGUCAGAAACUAACACUUGGAGAAAUAGAGCAUAUGAACUACCUCGAAGGCGCCAUCAACCAAAGCAGUACCGAUCAGUGUGAAAGAACCAAAAACGCUGAGAAACAAAGAGAAGAGAUAGAGAGAGAGAGACGAGUGACUAAUUAGCGAUACUCGUCUAAAUUCGCGCUAUAUACACGUAUACCUAUACUCUCUAUUAUAUAUAACUAUAACAAAUCAUCUUAAAUCUUUAAAAGAUAAAAGACGCUUCAAAACUUUUAAAAUAUCUUCUUUAUUUUUUAUUUUUUUUAUUUAAAAUAAUACCUCUGGUAUAAUUUUUUGUUAUUCAAAAAUAAUUCCACCGUUAGCUCAUCUCAGAUUAAAUCCGGAUUAAAUAUUUAUUAAAAGUUAAAAAAAGGUCAAAAUGCUUUUUUGGCUCUUAAUUUAAGGGUGCGUUUGGUUCGAGUUAUCCUGACAGGAUUACAGGCAAUCCUGCCAGGAUAACUGUGUUUGGUUAAUCCGCUAUGUAAUCUGGUCGUUAAUGUAGCAUUACAAAUCGAGCAGAAUUACAUCAAAAAUAUUAACGGGAGGGGGGUCGUGUAUCUUGCAUUACUAAAACCCGUUAAUACUACAUAUUAUGUAAAAUGACAAUUUUACCCUCCAACAAUCCCAAAUCUAACUAACAGUAUUAUUUUCAUCUCUCUCUCGCCUUCGUCCCGGCCCUCUCUCUCGCACGCCGCUUUUUCUCGCUCUCUCUCGACGUCUCUCUCUCUUUCUCUCUCUCGCGCACGAACACCUAUCAUCUUCUAUUGCGUCAUCCUCCCAAAUAAUCAUCACGAUCUCCUUCCCUCCAUUCGUCAUUUCCGCAAAAAACAAUAUUCAAAUGACUACAACAUGGGUAAUUUUGGAAAAAACUAUACUUUUAUGUCAGGAUUAUUAAAUUUUAUAAACUGAACCAAACAUAUUAAUGCUAUAAACACUGUAAUUUAGUAUUACAUUACUGUAUUAAACCAAACGCUCUAAUGCAGCAUUAGUAGUAAUCUCACGCCGAAAUCCAACAUACCUGAAUAUGUCGAGAUACUUUGUAAUAUUACAUAACUCGAACCAAACGAGCCCUAAGAGAAAAUAAAAUAAGUUGAUCAUGAUGGACGGAUAUAUUUAAAAAGAUAAAAAAUUAAAAUAUAUUUUUUUGUCGUUAAAAUAUUCUUUUGCUCUUAAUUUAAGGUAAAUAAGAAAAAUUCAUAACAGUAAAAGAGUAUAUUUGAAAGGUUAAAAAGGUAAUGUCAUAAAGAUAACAACAAUAAUAACUUAGAAGAGUCCGGCUGUGAUACUAUCGAUAGCAUUAAGCGUUUGGUGCUAUCAAGUUUUCCGCCGUUAGAUUUAACUCUUUGACUAUUUUCACCCGUUCGAUUAUACUAUUAAACUAAUAACUCACUCAACCCUAAAGGACCCACAUCAUCCUAACCGUAUAUUUUUUCAUCCAAAAGCAGAAAACCUAAUAGCAUCAAAUGCGUAGUGCUAUUGAUAGUAUUCCAGCCUAAGUCAAACUUAGAAUAUUAAAAAAAUAUUUUUAAUAUUAAAUUUUUAAAAGAGAUUAAUUAAAAAGUCGAAAAUAAUUGCCCCUAAAAGAUAAGUGGAUAUGGGUAAAUCUUGUGCUAUACUAUUCGAAUAAUUGAAGUUGCUUUUGUGCUUUCUUAAAUACUUCAAUUUUUAAACACAAAACAUUAAAAUUUGUCUCCAUUGGGAUUAUUGCCAUUUAUAUUUUUAAAACAUUAACUCCAUAUAAUUUAGAGUAAAUUGCACGUGUGGUCUCAAACUAUGAAAUACAUGACUUCUUAGUCUUCGCACUUUAAUUUAUUAUAAUUUUUGACUUAAAUUUUUAGAAUUAUCGUAAUUAAAUCUCAUAAUCCAAUUAAGUGAAUAAAUUUUAUAACGUAUCAUUGAUAUAAAAGUAGUGUGACAUCUUAAUUAUUAUCGUAUCAUUAAUUAUAAAACCAUUACAUCUUCUUCUUCUUUUACAUUAUUAAUAUAUUAAUAUUUAGUUAAUGAAAUUGGGAUAUAGGACUUGACCGUAAUAAUUUUAAAAGUUUGAGUAAAAAAAUUAUAAUAAACUAAAAUUUGAGUACCAAAAUGUCACCCUCCUCAUUGUUUGAAGACCAAAUUUGUAAUAUGUAAUAUAAUUUAAUAUAUAGGUAAAAAGAUUUUUUUUUUUUUGGUUAUAAUUGGUUUAGCUUACUGUCAUUCCAGGUCAAAGCGUAUAUGCUGAUUUACUGAAAAAAAAAAUGUCUAAAUUUUUAUUUUUUAUAGUCAAACAAAUAAUUUGAACUAAAGAAGUGCAAUUAAUUCAUUACCCAUUCAUUUCUUUAUUUUUAGAUUCAAUGCCUAUUCUCUAUAUUAUUUUAUGCUAGAAUUUAGAUUUUGAGUUACAUAAUCGGUAUCAGCGUGAAUAUCAGUUUCAGCAAUCUCUACAUAAUUCGAUAUUAAGCCUUAUUAUUUUUCUAGUGCAAUGUUAUAUUCACAAUUAUUUUUGGUUGUAAUCUUACAAUAUGUCCAUCCAAGGAUUAAAGUACCCAUCGGCACGGACCGUAUCCAACUUGCCGUACUGUGCCAGUAAGUUACCGGCACGAUACAGCCUUCGUAUCGAUGGUACAACUCAAAGUCCUCUAUUCUUAAAAUUACUAAGUAAUUUUAUUAUUAAAGUUCAAAAGAUUUGAUAAAAAUACAUAAUAAAUAAUUGACAUAUUUUAUUUGCUAAAGAAAAUAAAUAUUUCAUGUCUUUACGUGUUCGCGCACAUAAAUUUUUUGUGACUGGCACGCAUCGGCACGGUGCAGUACCAUGCCGGCAAGUUUUCGGCACGAUCUCGUGUCACGACACUUAAAUCUUUGUGUUCAUCCAUAAACUAAAAUUUUUUAACUUGUCUUUUCACUCCCUAUUUUUAAUAACAAUUUUUUUAAAAAAAUUAUUACAGUAGGGGGAUGGGUUUAAACACUUAGAUGGAGGAUUUGUAAACCUUAUUGUUGAAGAACUAACUUUUUUCGGAAAAGAUGUACUUGUUUCCUUUUAUUAUUAUUUUUAAUAAAACUUAAGUGAAUUAUGAUUCGUCAUUACACUAGAGUUAAGCUCCUACACUUUUAAAAAUACUGAAGCAUUUUGUGUUUAUAACUUUGUAACCAUCGGAUCGUCUCAAGAUCCGUAUAGUAUUAUUAACGAUAUAUCUCAUUUAAGUUUUUUUUAUUAAUACUAUAUGAAUCGUGAGGCAAUCCGAUGGCUAAAAAAUCACAAGCAAAUUGAGCUCCUCAGCUUUCAAAAACAUAGGAGCUCAACUCUCAUUUACUAUUACUUGAUUAAUUUUCUAUUACAAAUUUUGGAUCGUAUAUAUUAAAUGAGGUAUUGUAUAUAAUUAAGUCAUUUGAAAUAAAUAGUACAUUCAAAAUCUAAAUUGGAAGGGCAUAAUUAAAAAAAUCAGAUAGUAAAAUUAGAUUGUUAUUUCAAAAUGAAAUAUCUAAAAUUUUUAACUAUUUUGAUUUAGUUUUAUUAUUUUUCAAAAGGUCUUUUUAAACAAGUAUAAUCCAUAAGACAUAUUGUGCCCUGUGAGAUGAUAAAGAGUCAAAUUAGGAGAUAAUCAUAAUUUUGGAUUAAAAUGAUACUUUAAAAAAUAUGUACACGUCCCUAUCAUAUGUAUAACCUACGAUUUUAAAACUUAAAAAAAGAUAGAGAAAAAAAUAUGUACACGUCCCUAUUAUCUUUUUACUCUAUUUUGAAUGCUGAAUUGGAUUAGGACUUCGUUUGGAUGUGGGAUUGCGAGUACUCUUUAUUUUUUUGCUCUAUCUUGAACGUUGAAUUGAAUUAAGGCUUAGUUUGGUAUUGAGGCCUAUCAAACGUUAUUAAAUAAAAUAAAGUUGAGAAAAAAGCAUAAACGAAUAUGCUUUUGCGUUCUCCGUUGGGACCGCAGAAAAUAUAUCCCCGCACGUAACGUAAUCUCUUCGCAAUCCCAAACGAAGCCUAAGUCUUCCUUUAGAAUUGCGAAAGAUUGCGUUACGUGUGGAUAGAGAGUCGGUUAUGAUAUUUUUUUUAAUUUUUAUUUUAUCAAUAUUUUAUCUAUUAGCUUUGGAUGAGCUUCAAUAUCAAACAAAGCCAAAAUAAAAUUAUUUGGCCAAAUCAAUUUUUAAAGAACUUACUUGUCGAUCCGGCUCAAUAUAGGUUGGUUGAAUCCCUAAUCCGUCGUCCCCGCCCGCCCCCCCUCCUCCCUUUCCGUUCCGUCUCUGUGCAUAUUUCACUGCCGCGGCAGACGGACAUAAGGCGAGUGUAAUCGCAGAGGGAGGGAAGGGCAGACGGACUUAGGGAGAGAGGGAGAGAGAGGGAUGUCGUUCAUGCGGGGGGAUCUGCUGACGCGGAUGCGGAAGCUGGUGAAGGGCCUCGCCAGGCCCGCCCCUGCCUGGCUCAAAGCCAUGGAACAGUAACGCCCGCCUUCCUCUCUAAUUCUCGAUUUGUAAACAGAACAGACACACACACACAACUGGUUCUAGGGUUUUAUGACUGACUGCACCUCGGAUCACAAUCAGGGCGCCGCCUGUCACCUUCCCGCGGACCGACGGCAAGAUCAAGAGGAUCGAGCUGCCGGAGGACGUUUACAUCAAGCGCUUCUACAAGAAGCACCCCGAUUCCUUGUAUCACGACCCCGUCAAGUAAUCUCCUCCUCCUCUUCUUCUUCUUCUAUUGACGCCGUAGUUCGCAGACUUUAAUACGUUGCAAUUUCUGGUUCAAGCUUUCUGAAUUGUUGCUGAUGUGCUAGUAAUGUGGCAUUUUAUUAGUUCUGACGUUUUCAUUACAACACUGCCGACGCUGCUGCUGCCACGUUAGCGAUGCAUCAUUAUUUAACCAACUGAAUUAGACUGCGGCACUUCAUUGCAACAAUUCAAAAAAUUUGAGCCAGGAAUUGUAACAAAUUAAAGCCAUUUGAGGACUCAAGCGUACUCGUGCACCUCAAAAGUUUGAAGACCAAAAAUGCAAUUUAACCCUUUUCUUAUAUGCGUUGUUGUUUCUCAAAUUGCGAAUUUCUGCGAAUAUCCGAGAUUUUGCGUGUUGCAGUUGUUGAUUGAUAUUGUUUAUGUUACAGUUUUACUGGAUUUUUUUUUUUUUUUUUUUUUUUUUUGAGUUGUUUGUUUGCUCUUUGUUUGGAGAGAAUGUAAUGUCUUCAUCCUCAAUAUAAUUUACAAGGAGAAAAUUUUGUUAGUUUUGAAAUGGUUAAGUUGUUUGAGAUUUUGAAAAGCAAGGAUUGCUGGCGACAAGACUUUUUCCGCCGUUUGUUUCUUCUUUAUCUCUUAAUAGCGUGAUUUUGCUUUUUAUAUCCUCGCAUUGUUGCUAUUUAAUUUGUUUUCGUAAUCUAAACUCUAAUUGGAAUAUCGGAUAUCCAUUUUCAACAGGAUAAGUGGGUUCGAUCCGCCUCCUUCGCGAGUUUUCGCUUGGCGUGUGUUGGAGCUGAAAGGGCAGGGAGUCAACGAAGAUGAAGCUAUGGCUGUAGCUGAUGUUAGUAGCACGCGCCGUUCUAUACUAUAAAGCUAUCAUUUUAUUCACACUGCUCGCGCACCUUUCUCUAUACUAAGCACACCUUUCCGCUUUAACUUCAGAUGGAAUAUCUCGCCGAGAAGAGAGCGAAGAAGAAGGCGUACAAAGAACUGAAGCAAAUCGCACGCCUCCAGGGGAAGAAGCCGCCUCCGAACCCAUACCCAAGCGCCAUCAAAGAAAUACAGGCGGAGGAGAAGAAGUUUGUCAGAGAUCGUUUCUUCAAUCCGAAGGUGCUCGAGAUUGUGGAAAAGAUGAAAGAAGAGAAAGCUGCCAGGAUGCUAGAGCAACAGCGAGAAGCCGGCGGUGGUGGUCCGCCACGUAGUCGAGCUUGGUGAAUUCAAUCGUCUGGUAUUUGAACCGAACUGUUCUUUAAAUGCCUGAAAAUUUGAAUGAAAAUCAUGAGAUAUUUUCUAUGUUAUAUUUUUGCAAUAAAAGAAAUGUUGUUGCAUAGGGGAGUUCUUAUAUUAUUGUUUUCUAUUUAAACUUGGCAUGUACAAUGUAGCAUUCCAAUCUUCUUGUAUUAGUAAGCUAUGCGCAUGUCUAUCUAUGAAGCAUCGGAAUCAAUGACGUACAUGUUUGCCGCAAUAUUGAUAUAACAAACGAGACAAAUUUUAAAGUGUUGCUUGUGCGUAAUAGAUAGUAUCAAUUUAUUUGGGGGCAUGCACAAAUCUCGCUGUCCAACAGAAAUGUAACUUUUAGGUCGAUGAAAUCCUAUGAUUUCAAUGAUUUCGCCGACUUGACAGUUAAUUUCAGGGUAGACUUUUCUAGCUUACUAUCUGUCAUUGAUGGUUUCAAAUGCAACGACUGGCGUCUUCUUUACGAGUAACAUUAUUGUUAGUGAUGCCAACAAACAUUUGACAGUUCUGGAUAUAAUAGAUUGGCAGUCUGCAGUGAUUAUAUGGUUAUAAUAUUUUGCUAGCUUAAGAUCCAUAGAAAGCUUAGAAGAAGCAGCACAGCAGAUGAUGCUUAACCAAAAUGAGAAACUAGAGUCUUUUAACAAAGGACAUUAUGUUGGCAAGGGGAUUAAGAAGUUACAGAUGGUGCUACCAGGGCAUGCGACAUUAUUAUUUUUGAGAAAUUAGUGAAAAAGUAGGCAAGUGAUACCCUGGCAAAUGUUAAAUUUAUCAAUGUACGACCGAAGUUUCUAUACAACAUGAUUAAGCUAUCAACGACUAUGAUUUUUUUCUUUUAUUUUUGAUUUCGUUCGCAUAUCCCUGUGAUGAAAUGUUUAGUAAUCUGAACUUCAACCAAAACUGUGAAUGAAUGGUGCUCCCUCAUAAGCAUGCUUUUGAGGUUGAGGAACCAAGAUUUCACGAUUUGUGGAUAUCUGGCAUUCUGAGGGAUAUUUUUAAGUCUAGUAAGUAAUAAGUCUCUUAAUUUCCUCCAUUUUUUUGGCCUCUAUAUUGCUCGCUCUUCCUUUUUGUUUUUCUUUGCUUGAAGUUGUAUUCUAGUCUUUUUAUUGUCCGCUGCUUUAUCUAUUUGGGUUAAUUAGAAUUCCCUCUAACAUCUGUAUGCAUACAAUUUAAUCUUGUUGAACAUCUGCAGUGUACCAAACCAGAAUUGUUUUUUAUCAAAUUGGUGUACACCACCUAAGUUUUUCACCAUAAUGACCUUUUUUCUUCUAAUUGUUCAUUCUGGGAAGUACCCUUUUUCUGCGUGCAUACAAGGAAACAGCUGUAAUCCUCUUAUUCAUGUUUCUUAUGUCUCCGAGUUGCAAGUAAAUAGGUAAGGAAUGAGAACUCUUAUUAUUGUCUUCUUAGAACAUUAAUAAUUAAUUAAGGUGGCUAACGUGAUCAGAAAAGGCAGAACUUUCAUAUUAGUGAUACAAUAUGCACAAGAGUAUCUGAAGUAAAACAUGGGGGGUGGUAAGUUCAUCAAAGUGCAAUUCGUAUGUUGUUUCUUAACUCUCUACUGAUAAAAGUAAGUUUAAAGAAAAAGAUGAGAAAAAGCCUUUGUUCUGAAAGUUGCGCAUACUUCUCUCUGUUUCUUCAGAAAGCUGUUUUUUUCUUUUCUUUUUCCCAACAUCAGUUAUUCUAUUACUUGGAGUAUUGUGAAGUAAUGUAUAUUGAAUGUAUACAUUCUUUUAAAUUUACAAUUCCUGAAUAGUGAUUAUUGAGUUUGCCGCAUCAACUUGUCGGUGUAAUCUGAGUGAUAAUCCGGAUCCUGGACAAAUUUUAUGGUUGCUGUAUUUAUUUCCAACCAGCAAUUACAAUGCGAGCAAAAGUGGCACUGGGGACAGAAGAGAUUCAGUGAAGCAAUGUGGAUGUUUGUGGAAGUGCAAGAAUAUAUUCAGCCAGAAAUAUGUCUCUGAUGUACUUUUCCUUUUUGUCAGUUAUAUGUUGAAAACCAUUCCCUUUCAUUUAAAAAAAGAUGAAAUAUGAUCUUGUGAUUUCCUUAGAAUAAUUUUGAUACAACUGCAGCGAUAACUGCACGCAAGUUAGACAUAAAGCGUUAUCUUGUGGUUUCCUGCAAAGUAGGUAUUUGUGUGUGUCCUUGAAAACCUUACUUGUAUGUGUGCAAUGUGCAUGGUCAUAGAAAUUAGCAAACAUUUUGGAGGUAAAUGUCCAAAAACCAAUUUCAGUAGUGUAACUGUCCAAUUUCACAUAGUUGCAGGGAGUAUAUUUGCAGUAUAUGUAGUGGUGCAAAACAGUAGCUUACAAUAUUUGGUGGUGGGAAAUGAAUUUUAAGAGGUAGUUAGGUAGCUGGAUACAAGUGAUUGUGUUUAGGAGUUUUUGGACUACAACAAAAUUGUUGCUAGGGCUGGCAAUCCAGCUCGCUGCGCAUGAGUCAACUCGAAAUGAGCUCAAGAUCGAUCGCUUGUUUAAUAAACAAGAGCCGAACAUGAGUUAAAUUUUUCAGCUCGAAAUUUUAACAAGUCGAAAACUAGCUAGAGUCAACUCCCACGUGGUCAGCUUGAUAUAGUUCGAAUAUAUAUAUAUAUAUAUAUAUAUAGAGAGAGAGAGAGAGAGAGAGAGAGAUUAUAUUUUGUGAAUACCAAUUGUAUCCUAAUUUUCUUUUAACUUUCAUCAAGUAGUAGGGCUCGUGUUCGGCUUGCUAAUAAAUAAGCAGAGCAUUUUUUUUUUGUUUGGCUCGUUUAAUCGGCACCUCGACAGGUUGUUACUAUUAAAAGAAAAAAAAGAGGAAAAAAAACUGAUAUUAUUGCCGAAGGUGUAGGUCCUUGAAUUGUGCAUUAUGUGCAUGCAUUUCUUUUUUUCACAUUAACUCUGCUGCUGCAGUACAACAGGGGUAGCAAAUUUUAAUUAAUAAUCCCAACUUCCCACAAUCUUUGAUGCUUACAAGUUGCUGAUCAAGAAUUUUUGUGGCAUAAAGUAAAGUCGUGCUGGGUAUUUACCAGCACAGUACAGCAUAGCGUUUUGCUUAGCGUAUCAAUGUGUAUUGUUGACAAAUAUAACUGCGUAUAUACUUUGGUACAAAAUAUAUAUAUUUUUUGGCACCAAUAUAUUCUUAAUAAUUAAAAAAAAACAAAAGAAAAAAAAAUCAAUCAUUGGUUGAGCUCCGAUUCCCACCUUUGCUGUGUAAUCUGUAGGGUUCUGCCACAUAUCACCUCAUUGAGUUUUCAGCAAAAAUCAUGACAAGAAAACAAUUUAUAUGAACCUUGUUUACUAAAAAUUUGUCCAAAGAGUCUCAAAAUGCAACAUAAACUGUUGAAAAACUGUAGUUCUUUUACAAGCUUGGAUAAAUGAGGUAUAGCCAAUCACUAUAUACCUAAAGAAUAACUUACUCCCGAGGAGGGAAUUUGUGACCAUUAAAACAAAGAUUUCGAUAUAGAAAAGAAAUAUCAAUGAAACAAAACUAUGAUUGUGUUAGUAAUUCAACUAAUUUUGCUUCUGUCACUAAAUUUGAGGAAUCUAAACUGCGAACGGGUCGAUUUUAGACCUCCUCAACUGCUUUUGAGUCUGAACUGCUGACAGGCUUCUGCAAUCUUUCUACAACCGGAUAGCUUCGACGUUCCUUCCCCCCGGGUUUUGCCGAGGCGUUGCCGUACCAAACCAUUCCUAUAACAGCUAGGAUCAUGCCGAGAACUACGUGAAAGUUGAGACCCUCCUUUCCGAAGAAGGUGAAUCCGAGGAUCAACACGAGUAUCGUCUUCAUGUGACCUAUCACCUGGAAAGACACCGCCGAGAAUCGACCUAUGCAUAUGAAUUGGCUCAGGUUGGUUCCAACCGCUAUCGAGCAUGACGAGAUUAUGAAAAGCUGCAGAGCGGAAAGUAGAGAAUUUCGAUGAGACAAUAACUCGUAUAUAUUUUCUACCGUUCAGUCGUGAUUAAUCUUAGAAAGCCAAUGGUGUUCAUAUUAGUAAAAUCUCAUGUAAACGAGAAAACGAAGAAGCAGCACAUUACGUAACAAGAUUGCGAAGGUGUAGCAGCAUUUGUACUAUCUUUCGAUUUUCAAAUCAUCACAUACUUCUUAAAAUGCAGGGUCAGUAGUUACCACAGAAGGCACAGUGUAGUUGAACGCGUCCACCCGUUUGCUGGUCAACCAGAAAUCCAUGAAAGGCCCUACUAGCAGAAGAGAUGCUGCCUGGCCAGGAGCAGUGUGGCUCAAGAGGUUGAAGGACGUAAGCGAAUACUUCCGUUGAAGAAAAUGAACAUACUGCGUUGAAAAGCAAUAUUUAAAUUACAACACAACGGAGCAAUGCUAAAAGCUAGGAGGGCUUUUUCUUGUUGAGUAUUUGAUGCCGACUUAUUUCAUUCCACAGGCAGUGAAAAUUUCAAUUUACUUGUACCAAGCCACUGUAGCAUCUGAUUUUGCCACUUAGCGCUACACCCUUCAUUUAAACAACGAUAAAUUGUUUCUAAGUAAAAACUAUGUUUCUUGUGGUCAGGAACGGAACUUGCGAUAUACGAAGUAAGAAAAGAAAUCAAGGACUAAAGUACUUGAGUAAAAGCUUCAGAGAAUUAAGUCGCGAAAUUGGAAGAGCCUUUUGUAAACUUACAUAUUGUUGCAAAGAAGUGCUCCAAACUGCUAUAGUUGCUGCUAAUACACCUCUAGCAUUGACGCUCACGUCGGUGACCGUACAAACUGCAACACCUACGAGAACCACCACUAUACUGAGCUUUGUGUCCCGAGAAUAACGGACCUUAUCCAACAAAACUUCUAGGAGACAAGAUACUGGUAUCAUACAGAGCUUCGUUAUCUGGAGACCACGGAAUAGCACGGAAAUUUAAAAAAAAAAAAACUCAUCACUCAACCAAACUAUUAAGAAAUAGUGCAUAAGAUCCAUAAUCGACCUGAUAAAACCCCACGGAAUUCCACAUCAGACUGACGUUCAUGCCGACAAUUGACAAGUUCGCACAAAUGACGAACUUGAUGAGUUCAGGUACAGGUAAGUGGGAGGGCUGAACAAGUCCCAACCACCUUAGAACAAUUGUCAUAAUAGUCGUGGUUGCAAAAUGCAGGCCAGUUAGUGAUGUCGCUGUAAAACAUAAUCACGAAAACAGCACCAAAAUCAGGAAUGCUUUUUUGAAUGGAUCAAAAUCACACUUCUUAGCUGUAUCAGAUUAAUAAAAUUUCUGCAAUAUAUAGUAAGAAAACAAACAUAAGGGGGGCAAGUAUACCCGCAAAUCUUACAGGUUCUCGCAGAUCUGAAUAUUUGCAAAUUUUCGGUUUUCAUAUACAGUAAAAUGAUUUUUAAAUUAAAUGUGCAAUGAAAUGGAUCCAAAUGAUGAUAGAUGGGCCGGCAGGUGCGAAACAUACAGAUACAGAACGCAAACAUUGACACUGUAUCUUUACUAACAGUAUAAGAUAUGCAGCCUCGUCGUGUAUAACCCGAAGAAAGAGCAAAGUACAUGGGUGAGAAUGUUUUAACACGGCGAGUCCUUAGAAAGAUGAGAAAGGCCUUACUACUACCUAUUGAAAUUCCGCAUGCUGAAAGUCUAUGACACGAUAAAUGCAACAGAAAGGAUGCGAAGAAGAUUGCACUCCCAGUCAGAAAAUUCAAAAAUCAAGUAGUAGAUUAAGUGGUUGUAACAAAUCUAAUUAUAUAUCGCCAUAGAAUACAUUUCGAAGGAAAUGAAUUUUGGGUAAGUGAUUCUCAUUGUGCCUCUGCAUGAGUCGAACGUUGAUCUAAUACUUGUACUACCAUACCUAAUAAAUUAAAGACAAAAGAAAAGUUUUAAACUGUAAAUGUACAUAAAGAAGUUAUCGCAAACUCACAGUGUGAACCAAACCCCGCAAAUGUAAGAGAUUAAGCAUGUAGCAGAAAUAAUCAACUCAAAGCUCGUUAUAGCCUUUUUUAUACUUACCAAAACUGAAGCCAUAGGUGGCCAUUAAAGCUUUGUUCACCAUAAUUAUUCCAACAGAAGUCACUAUGUUGAACAUCCAUGCCGCAACAUCUAAAGCAGCUUUCCUGUCAGCUUUGCUUGAAGUCAUCUCUUCUUUCACAAAGUUCAGUUCCGCAGGCGCUUAAAGAUGUGUUCUACUUACUUACCAUCUCCGAUCUCGGAAGCUUCUAUUUCACACCAGAGAAAAUCAAAUUUCAUUAUUUAGCUCUUAUCAAAACAAGAGAUGAAUCAAAUGAUGGAAGUAUAGAAUGAUGUAUCAAAAAGAAUGAGAACAAAGUUAUCCAUCCACAAAACUAAUAUUGUUUAAUUUGUCGUAUUCUGUCUAUAGGCAUAAAACUGUAUUUACUGCGCAUCCUAAAAGAUCGUAUUUAAUGUCGCCUCAAGCUUAAAUUUAUGAAACUAACAAACAAUUCGAUAUCAUAUUGUCGGUGAUCUCAAACUCUAUGUUGUAAUGCUUAGCCUGUGAUGCAAUCCAGAAGUACAGAACCAGCUUAUAGAUAUUUUACUGGAAAAGUCCAGAAAAUCGCAAUAGAAGUUUAUGUCAAAAUUUCCAUCUCAGCAGAUUCUAACGUAAAUUUGACCGUGCUUUUGGAUUUUAAUUGAAAAAUAUCCUAAUUAUUCCAAUUGGAACUAAAUGAGGAACCAUUAGGGACCAUUUACAGAAUCCUAAAAGAAUUUGAAUGUGGUCCUGAUUCGAUAUAUCAGGUUCAAAUUGGAGCUUCCAUUCUCUAAUAGUUGAGGAAUUCGGUCUAGUUGCUUUUUCAUAUAUCAUAUUUCUGCAAAAAAUUAACAAGAAACCAUCCACAACGGCAAUUCUCUCCACCGGAGAAGCAUACCUGAACCCUCUAAAAUGCUGUACAGUUGAUCGGCAUAUCGCAUAAGGAAAGAAAACGGAAACAAACACAAAAGCAUGCUUUCACUGUAUCCAUUUUUGCUUUCUCUUUUCUGUUUACAGUUAUCAAAAAUCAUUGUAUUAUCAGUAGAAGAGCGACUCGCUAAAACGAAAUACAAGUUGCACAAAUCCAUGGUGUCAAAAAAGGGCCAUGUCAUUUGACAUCAACUGUGACAUAUAUGUUCUCUAGAAAACCUAAAAGAAUAGCCAAAUCAUCAUAAUCUGACAGGAGUAAAUUCACAUUAACAGCUCUUUGCGUGUUUUUAACCUUUGGCUUGUUAGUUUAGUAGGAUUAUGAAAUACUUGAACUUGAAUUAGCCCAUGCGAAAACAUUUAGAAGGAGCAGCAAUUCAUUCAAAGUAAAAAAAUCUUAUCUAGUAGAUUGUGUGUGACAAAUCAACUUAGAAGCUUCAUUGCAUCACUGAACACUUCGAAAAAACUCUACCCAUUAACUGAUGUUGCUGUGACCGAAAAUUAAUAACUAACAUAAAGCAUUCAACUCAAUCAAAAGAUUGAAACUGAGAAUUCCAACUUCCAAAUGGAGUAGAAUUCGGCUCUAAAUUACUUCCAACGGAUAGUUUUAAAGAAGUGAAACUCCAAAUGUCACAAUUUUUGUUCUGAAAUUUAGAAUGUUGGAUCUGCAGAAACAACAAUAUAGAAGACAUCAAAUUUGAUGGCUUCGCCAUAAAAUUAUGAAAUUCUGACUAAAAUGAGAUCAAAUGAUGCAAGAUGCACGAAAAUGUUAGUGUCGUAUACAAAAUCAACCAUCUAUGUAGAUCUACCUACCAAAAGUAUAGAACUUAUUUGCACACUCUUACGCUUUGUUUGAACACAUGAACAUCUUAUUCAAUGUAUCUCUUAAUUUGUUGAGGAAUGUGAUCAAAUGUGUAAACUGGAAUAUCAUAUUCAAACUUCACCUACUGAAUCAUGAUCGCCGAGACCUCGUAGGCCUUGUUUUGAUGUCGGAAUAAGUUAUCCUAUGAUAACUUAUUCGAUAUAAAAAUUUCCUUAUGUAUAAUUUGGUAGGAUAGUAUAGUUCACCUACGAAAAAAAUUUAUCUUCUUUCGGAAAAAUAACUUUUCAAGAUGAAUAUACUAUUCCAUUCUAGACAUUUGAUCGCUUCUAUUUUCCAACUACUGGUAAAAAAAAAAAAAAUCUCAUUCCAAUCACACAAGAAAAUUUUGAUGUACAAACUCAAUGCAUAAAUCUUUUUGAUGUCCUCGGCAUCUUCCAAGUAGUUAGCAACUUCGCAGCAAACUAAAUGACAUUCUCAAACACUAUUUUCCAGUUCAUAACAUCAUAUAUGCAUCAUCAUCAUCAUCAUCAUCAUCAUCAUCAUCGUCAAAAAAAAAAAAAACAAAAAAAACUUCUUUUCACCCAUUAAUAUCAUAAAAAAACGCAGAAAAUUUAGAAAAAAAAGGGUGAGAAUCAGGAAUUACAUGGCAGAAGGAGACGAUCCGUAGCGAAGAGCUUCGGAUUUUUAAGGGAGCUUUUCUUGUAAAUAAAAAAAAAAAAAUUCUUUUGGGAUUUGGCUCUUCUCCGUGAUCCCAAACUCUGCUUGUAUUUAUCUACAUGAUUUCAUCUAGAGAUAUAUAUAUAUAUACAUGCACAUAUUCAUAACGAGAUAUAUAUUCAUAACGAGAUCUGGAUAUAUAUAUAUAGAGGGAAUCUCCGUUGUAUAAACUAUAGGAUCUGAGAAUAUUUAAUCCUUUUAAUUGCGCAAGGAAUACUCAACUUUUAAGCACGGAUUCAUUUUUGGUCCACCAAGGCUAAAUUUCACUUUCGCACUUGAAUCUUAAUUUAUUGCAAUUUCUAGUUUAAAUUUUCUAAAUUAUUAUAGGGAAAACUUCAAAUACCCCCAUAUGGUUUCACGCUUUCUCACUUUAGUAACCUGCGGUUUAAAGUGUAUCAAGUUAGCCCCUGUGGUUUCGCACUUUCUCACUUUAGUAUCCUGUGGUUUAAAGUGUAUCACGUUAGUACCAUGUGGUUUCAUUUUUCUCUUUUCGUCCGCUCCUCUAUUAAUAUUUUGUGAUAUUAUAUAAAAAAACUUUAGAUACCCUACCUAGUUUUAUCGAAUAUUUACUUUAGUAUCCUUUAGUUUUAACUUUAUUACUGAUUUUUUUUUCCUCUGUUAUUAUUUUGUUAAAUUAUAUACAAAAAACUUCAUAUACCCUAUCUAGGUUUAUCGAAUAUUUACUUUAGUACCCUUUAGUUUUAACUUUGUCACCAAUUUAACAAAAAAUUAGUGAAAUGGGUAAUAAAAAGAGAAAAAUAAAAUCAUAGAUACUAAUUUGAUACACUUUAUAUAAAAAUGAGAAAGUGCGAAACUAUAGGGGGUAUAUGAAGUUUUCCCAUUAUUAUAAUCUGGUACAUAAUUUAAUUUUGUUGAUUAAAUAUUAAUAUGCUGCUAAUACGAAAGUGAUGUAACAGUGUUGUAAUUAAUAUCAAAAUAAUGAUUAGGAUGUUACGUCAUUUUUUUUUAUUACCGAUUCAUCAAUAUUUAAUCAAAAUUGAAAAUUAAAUUAUGAGACUUAAAUAUAAUUUAUAAAGUUUGAGAUUGAAAUUGAAAUUGUAAUAAAUUAUUGUUUGGGGAUUAAAAUGUUAUAACUUGCAACGUUUAACGUGUUUGAUUAGAGCAUCCCACAUGAAUUAUGUGACACAUCUCCUACAUCUCUAUCGAAACAUUUUUGUGAAAAUUAAGUAAAGCUAUGGAAUGUUUCAAAUUAAACAAAUUAAAGAAACAGAUCAAAAAUCAAAAGUUGUAAAGUUUCAUACAUUAUCAGUUUAACUUUGGUAAAAAUAUAUAGAACUUAUUUUAAAUAUAGACUAUUUUAAGUUGGCUAUAUUACUUUUCAACUUUUGAAUUUGGGGGUAAAUUGUACAUUUCGUCUUCAAAUUAUGAGUUGGGUGAUAUUUUGGUGCUCAAAUUUUAAUUUAUUGUAAUUUCUAGCUCGAAUUUUUAAAAUUGUUGCAAAUAAGUUUUAUAACUUAAUUUAGUUGAGUAAAUAUUGAUGUAUUGCUAACACGAAAGUGAUGUAACGGUGUUGUGAUUGAUGACAUACAGAUAAUUAAGAUGUUACAUCACUUUUAUAUUAACCAUACGUCAAUAUUUAGACAACUAAAUUGAACUGUAUAUCUUAAUUGCAAUAAUUCUGAAAGCUUGAACAAUAAAUUACAAUAAAUUAAAGUUUGACGACUAAAGUGUCAUGCACCUCAUAGUUUGAGGACCAAAUGUGCAAUUCAACUUAUUUACCAUCCAACCUUUCAAUUUGUUUGAUUUGAAUCGGUCAACGAUACUUCGAUUUCAAAUUUUGAAUACGUCGUUUAUCUUUACAAGUUAAAUAUAUUUUAUCCGAUUCCCGCAACCAUAAUUAAGUAUAUUUUAUAUGAUUCCCGCAACUAUAACUUCAUUAACAUAAUUAAAUUAGUUUAAAUUUUAAAGUCAAAAUACUGUUGGCUGACUCAAAUCAAACAAAUUAAAAAUUGAGUAGUAAAACCAAAAUUUUUAAAGUUUGGGUAAUCAAUUUAAAAUAAUCUACAAAUAAAUUAUGUACAUUUUUUACUUUUAUUUUUCACGAUCGUAAAAAUGGAUUUAUAUAUAUGGAAUAAAUUUUAAUUUGCCCCCUAUCAUAUGGCAUUUUGUUGGUUAGUUGUCCUAUAGUUUGGUAUAUUCUAUCUAAUACAAAACAAAAUUAUAUUGUAUUCCAUCUAUUCUAAUCUUUUUUUUUUAAAAAAAAAUUGUUUCACUUAAAAAGGCUUGCAAAUCAAGAAAUUAUAUUUAUAGGUAUUUACUGUUAGAAUAUACAAGUUUGUACAUUAUCUAAAAUCUUAUAUCUUAACUUGAUAUAACAAUCUUUUGUAGUGUCACCAAUAUAUAAACUUUAUUAACUUAUCUAUAAUCUUAAUAUCUUAUUCAUCAUUAUUUUCAAUCAAAGCUCAGAAUCUGAGAAAAAUAAAGAAGAACGAAGCUAGAAUAUUUCUAGAAGAAAAAUAAGAAUCAAUUAUCAAUUAGUAGUAUUAAAUUUGAUCUUAGACUAUUUGAAUUUAUUAUAAAAUAGACUAUUUUUAAUGGCUAAUAUAAGAUGAAUUUGUGAUCAUUUGAUCACUAAGCAAAUAAUGUUGAAAAAUUGCAAAAUUUGUGUCCGAUAAAGUUCAAUAGUCUAGAUAAUGUUUAACAGUGUGAUCAUUGAAUCAGAUGCCCUUUUGUCGAAAUGGCAUAGAAGUAAUGCUUUCGUUUACUUUCGAUAGUAUUUCGUGUACUUUGAUAGCCUUUAGGGACGAUUACGUUGUAUACAACUGUAACUGUAUUGUAAUUUACUGCAUAUAGAUUCAAAUCUGACGUUUAUUUUGAUGCACUUGAAUUCACUUGUUAUAGUUGUAACUGCACGAGGACGCUCGAUUGCAGCACCAGGAGAGAGUAAUUUUAAAUAAGAAUAAACUUACCUCCCUAAAAACUUUUUUUAAAAAAAUUUUCUUUUUCCCUUUCCUACGCAGGGGUAAUCUCACCACCCUGUAUAUAAAAUGAUAUAAGUUUGUAAAUGCACUUCUCAACUGAAUGCAAUAGGGGUCGUUUGGUUGCAUGUAGUUAUAACUAUACUGUAGUUGUAAUUGCAUACAAAUGCAAAUUCAGUAUAUGGUUUGAUAUAUUUAACUACAACUACUGUAAUAAGAACUGCAAUAGUCGGAACUACGCCCAAAUUGACCGCAUUUCCAACUGUAAGCAAUAAGAUACGCUUACCUCCUUAACAUUUUUUUUUUCUUUUUUUACAUUAGAGGUAAUCUCACCAUCAUAUAUAUAAAAUGAUAAACUUUUGAAAAUCAUUUCUCAACUAUAUGCAACCAAACAAAUUGUUUAUAGUUGCAACGUUUUCUACCACAUCCAACCAAAGAGAAUGUAUAUAGUUGCAACUGUUGUAUUUUUAACUGUAUGUAUCUCCAACUACAUUACAUUUCUAAUUACAUCUAACCAAAGGACCCCUAAGUAUUUACAUAACUACAGCAUUUUCUACUACAACUAACCAAACAAAAUUCAUAUAAUUAUAAUUAUUAUAUUUUCAACUGUAUACAUCUCCAACAAUACUAUAUUUACAAUUAUGCCGAACUAUGACCCCUCACUGCAAUGAAGAUGAGGGCCUCAAUUUUGAAAAUUGUUAGUAGCCCAGAAACUAAUUAAUUUCAAUCAUUAAUUAACUUAUCACUGUUGUAAAAGCUUCAAAAAGCUUAUUAAAUACCUGAUUAAUUAGUCAAAAGCUGUUUACUAUUGAAUGCCUGGAGAGCCCUUUAGCAAGCAAUCAAGAACAAGAAAAAUCUGUCAUUGGCCUAUUAAAUUAGAUUUAGAGCACAUGGGAGGUACUUGAAAGAUACUUCAUGACUCUUUUAAUCACAUGGGAUGUACAUUUUUAGGCACAAGAAAUCUUGCAGGACACUUUUUUAUUUCUUUCAUAAUUAUGGUACAUAGCUAUCUAUUUAUAGAAUACAUGAAUGGGCAGCCACAUAAUAUCAUGAAAAUGAUUUCUGAACUAAGCCACCAUGUCACAAUUAAGGUAUAAACCAAUAGAAACUUGCCACAUGUUCAAUAAAAAUUUUGGACGCGCCCAUUGACGAUAUACGUACUCUAAAAUGUACAUCAAAGAUAAAUAUCUAUAUAUACAAUAAAUUAUUUAAUUAUUUUAUAUUGUAUAUAUUAUAUAUCUUCUAUAGAAUACAUGAAUUGGUAACUAGAUCACAUCAUGAAAAUGAUUUCUGAACGAGCCACCACGUUACAAUUAAGGCAUAAACCAAUAGAAACUUACUGCAUCUCCAAUAAAAAUUUAUAUAAACCUGCUCUAAAAUGUGCAUCAAAGAUAAUUUUCUAUAUACAAUAAAUUAUUUAAUUAUUUUAUAUUCUAAUAUUAUAUUAUAUUCUAUUUUACUAUAUUCUAUCUUACGGUAAUAAUUAUCAGAUAUUUUAUCAAUCAUUUAAAAUAUCAUGUAGUAUAUGGAGCAUUAGGAUACGUGAGGCGCAAGAAAAGAUUUAUCCUCUUUCUCUCUAUGGAAAUUAUGAGUGCACUCUAUUAGGCAUUCGUGCACUUGGUGUACAACACACCAUAUACUCAAAGCCUAAUAAAUAUAAUAGGGAUUUUAAAAACUGAUUCAUUAAAUAUAAUUUAAAUUAUUAGAUUUUAUAGUUCAGAUAUAUUUAACUAAGUUUUGGUAUUAGAAUAUCAGUCAUCUAAUAUAAGUUGAGGUGUAUGGAGUAUUAAUAUACACUAGGUAUAUGUAAUAGUUUCUUCUUUUUUAAUUAAUUUGAAUAAAAUAAAGACACUCUCACUUAUUUGGCAAUUUGAAAUAAGUCCUCCAACUUUAUAUAUUAAUAGAACAACUAAACAAAUAAGUAAGUUUGAUUCAACUUUUAAAUAAAGUUAUUAGAAUAAUUUAAUUCUACAAAUAGUGAAAGUUUCAAAAUGACUUGUAGUUGAGGGCUCCAUAUAUUUUUAUUUUUAUAAAAUUGAAAUUUAUUUUGAUAAAUAUAAUUUAUUAUAUUUUAAAAAAGUUAUGUAUAAAAAUAUUUAGUUAAAAAUUUAUUAGUUAGGCUUCAAAUAUUUUAUAAUUAAUAAUAAAAAUGGAUCGAAAUGUAAAACAAAAUGACGAAAUUUCCUAAGUUUUCAGUUAAUAAUAGGAAUCAGAAUAAUAAUCAACCCAUUAUUGUUGUUUGAUUAAUAAAACAUUUAGUUGCCCAUAAAAAAUAUUUAAAAUACAAGAGUCCGGCUAUGAUGCUAUCAAUAGCACGAGACAUUUGGUGCUAUCAAGUUUUCUACCGUUAGAUUUACCUCUUUUAUUAUUUUCAUCCGUUUGAUUAUACUAUUCAACUAACCACCCACUCAACCCUAGAGAGCCAACAUCAUCCUAACCGCACAUCUUUCAAUCCAAUAGUAGAAAACUUAAUAGCACCAAGUCACUGGUGCUAUUAAUAGUAUGCCAGCCUAGUUCAAAAUACAAUUCAAAUUAAAAUAUGAAAUUAAAUUACACGCUCAAAGAUAAAAUUCAAAUAUAAACUUUAAAUUAAAUUUGAAUUCAUGAUUUGCGUUCACAUCUCUUAUGCAAAUUUUGAUUCACAAUUUAAAUAUAGGUUUUGAUUUAAACUUUUGUUCACAUUUAAAUUUCAAAAUGAUAUAUUGAAUUCACAAUUUAUAUCGUGUUCAAACUAAAAUUCAAAAAUUAAAAUUUAUUAUUUAAAUGCAUAAUCAAAAUUUGAAUCCAAAUUAAAACUGACAACUUGAUCUUAGAGUUUAAAUUUAAAAAUGAAAUCACAAUUUAAAAUUAUACCUAAAUUCAAAUAUCAAACUUAUAUUAGAGAGUUAAUUGCAUACAGCUCAAUGUAAACAUAUUGAAUAGCAAAUAUAUCUCUACGAAGUUCAAUUUUUCAUAUUUAUCUCUGCAAAAAUUCUAAUGUUUAGAAAUUGGCUUUUUAACCCCCUUUUAUAUUAUUUUUGAUGGUAGAAAGGAAGGAGAUGAUCAUUGAAAUUUUUUUUGAGAGGAUAUUUCUGUAUAAUGCUAACCGUUAAAAUUUUUGAGGGGACAUAUUUAUAAUAAAUAGUGCUAUAAGGUAAUAAAUAAGAAAGAUAAAUAUGAAUAUCACUAAAUUUUUAUAGAAAUAAAUAUGAAAACUAAAUUUUAUAGGGAUAUAUUUGAUAUUCGAUAUGUUUAUAAAGAGUUGUAUAAAAUUAAUUGUAUAUUAAAACUUAAGCUUAAAUAACUGAAAUUUAAUUUGAUAGGAUCCGUUUUCUAAAAAAAAUUCAUAACUUUAUUAAAUUUAAAAUUAUUUUAAAAAUUUAUUAUUUUAUAAAUAUUUUAAGAAAUUUUAUUUUUUUAUUUAACAUAUUAGGUAAAAGAGAAUCAUUUUAUUUUUUUUAAAUUUUGAAUUUUUUAAUAUUUUUAAUAAAUUUUAAAAUAUUAAAGGGUCACCACGAAGCCCAGCCUGGCCCGGCCUGGCACGGCCCGGACCAUACGGGCCCGAGGUCGUGCUGGGCCGGGAAUUCAUAAAUAUCGGCCCGGCCCCGCCCGGCCCGGCUGAAUGUUAUUCGAGCCGGGCCGGGCUGAUCUUUGGCCCGGUUUGGCCCGGAUGAAUGUGGGCCGUGCAGGCCCGGCACGGCUCACAUUACAGCCCUAAGUGAAACCCUCAAAAGUCCCUCGCUCUUCUCCCAAAUGGGAAAAAGGCGGGAGAAAAAUUUGAGUGAGAGAUGUGAGCGAUGCGAAUCAAUGGGGUUUCCAAAUCGCAUCUGAGUUCAGUCUCAACCUCAGAAGCUCAAAUCGUCGAAGAGGUAAUCUAUCACAGCACAAACCAAAUCCCGUGUUUGAUGGCUUCGUUUAUUUUACUUAGAAAUAAAUUUAGCUGAAAAUGUGAAUCAACUAGGAUUUGAACUGGAAACCUUAUGUACCAACCAUCAAGUCCUUUGCCACUUGCUCUAGGGGGGUUGAUAUGCUAUUAGUUAUAGCAAUAUUAGGGCUUGUUUAGUGGCGUUGUAUUUUUUUGUUUUAAUAGAAUUUCUACAUGAAAUAGUGUAGGAGGGGAGAGUGCAUUGCUUUCGAACCUUACAUCCAAGGUAUUUUUGGCAAUGAAAAAUAAAAACUUGAAAACAAUUUUUAUUUUUGCUUCCAUUUUUUUUUUUAUUUUAAGUUGUCAUUCGUCAUUUUGUCGGAAUGUAUUACAAGCUACCAACCAUAAAAAAUAUAAAAGCAAAGUUUUUCCAUCUGUAAAUCAAAUUCUAUGGAAUUAGUGUUUAAAAAAUGAAAAAAAUGACAAUGAUCCCAAAUGAGUCGUAGCUUUCUUACUACUUAAAUAAGGGUAUAUUAGGAAAAGUAGAUGCAUUAAAAUGAUAAUUUUCCAUUUCUUUCUGAACAAUAAAAUGGAAUGGAAUGGAAUGGAAUUCAGUUCAACUCCAAUUUAUUUCAAACAAAAAUUCAAUAAGAUUAGACUAAAUUACAGAAAAUUUUCCUGUCAAUAUCCACUUUUUUACUUUCCCUCCUGUCAUUCAAAAAUGUAUGCUUUGCCCCCUUAAAAAAUAAAAAAUAUUCACUUUGGCUCCCGCCGUCAAUAUUCCGUUAGAGUUCCGCUUAUAUCAUAUUUUUUAUACCCAAAAUAUUCCUAAAACUCUCAUCUUCCUUCUCGUUCAUCAACAAUAUCCUCGGCCGCGCCGCCUUGCCCUCACGCAGUCCUUUGUCCGUGCCCACACACAUGCCCUCGCCCUCCUCCACCGCCUCACCCUCGCCCUCGUCCUCGCCCACCUCUCCACCCAUAGCCACUAUGAUCUCCUCCCUACAGUCGCCGAAAUAA